UUUUAUAAGACAUAUGUAAACAAACGUUUUAUUGGAUAGCUUACAUACCACACCGAUAACCUUAAUUAAUUAUUGAUAAUAAAACAUGUGAAUUGGAAAAAUGACCAACAAUUUAGUGGAAACACAUAGAUAUGACAUUCACUUUUUAAAGAUAUAACAUUCACUUUUUAAUUAAAAAAAGUGGAUGGAAACAUAAAAUUUAUUUUCUUAGUAACAUGUGGGGAUUUAAAUGGCCACACUUCGGACCAAAACAGUGUCGAUAGUAAUUCCAGGUCCCAAACCGAGAAGCACACCCCAUUCAAGUCCCUCCCCUGUUGUGAUAUGUCCUUCAUCUUUUGACUUCCUCCUCAUCUCAUCCAUGACGAACAAUACAGAAGCACUUAACAUGUUACCAUAUUCGCUUAGUACAUCCUUACUAGCUUGCAAUUUUUCCGACUUUAAACCAAGUUUUGCUUCAAUUUUGUCAAGACUAGCUCGUCCACCUGAGUGUAAAAUCCAAAAAAUGGAAUUGUAAUCCGAAAUAUUCAAAGAUUGAAAGGCCUUGACAAGAGCUUUUUCAAUGUGUUUUGAAACGAGGUUAGGAAUAUCCUGGUUGAGAUAUAAUAUCAUUCCUACUUCUCGAAUGUCACAUUUAAUGUAUCUUCCGCUAUCUGGAAGGAUGGUUUGCGCAGUCCAUACCAAUUCAAACAAAGGAUUUUCAACUUUUGGCAAUGGGUCUGAACCAAUAAUCGCAGCUGCCGCACCAUCUCCAAACAAUGCAUGUCCCACAAGACCAUCAAGAUGAGUAUCACUAAGUCCAGAGAAACCUAAUAUCCCCAUCUCUGCACAAACCAACAACACACGAGAAUCUUUGUUGUUCUCAGUCAAAUCUUUAGCUAAACGAAGUCCCAUUGCACCAGCAUAAGAACCUUGUUGGUACAUCAUAUAACGCUUUACAUCCGGGCUUAGGCCUAAAAGAUUUGUGAGUUGAUAGUCAGCACCAGGCAUAUCCACACCAGCUGAAGUGCAAAAGAUGAGAUGAGUAAUCUUAGAUUUAGGUUGACCCCAUUCUUUGAUAGCCUUUGUUGCAGCUUCUUCGGCUAACUUUGGUAUUUCCACAAUUAUAAUCUCCAUUUUGGCAUCCAACGUAGGUGCCCUAAACUCACAAAAACUUGGAUUCUUUUUCAAAAUAUCUUCGGUUAAAUGCAUGUAUCGUUUCUUAAUCUUAGUUCUAUCACCUGAAAAAAAACUCGUAUAAGAACAGAUAAAAGACACUAACAAUAUAUAUUAAAAGUAAACUUAAAGUAUAUUAUAAACAUGUUACAUAUGCGCUGAAAUUUUUCUUUGAGCUCAGUCUUAUGUUCACUGUUUGUGACACGGAACAAAAAAUCUGGAUAUGUGCUCUGAUACACACAGUUUGGAGGGUUAGCAGUGCCGAUUGCUAACACAGUGGCAGUGCCUCCAGCUCUUUGUGUUUGGCGGAUCUCAUCAACUGUCGCCAUCUUAACUGCACAAAAGAGAAAAUUAAAUCAUGGGAUAUUACUAAUGUAAGCUUUAGAAUGUUGAUAGUGAGCACACGUACUAGUAGUAGCUAAUUAGCUUGCAGAGUAAUAAAAGGAAGAAUUAAAACAAUUGAUGAUAUUUGGUGUGUGAGAAAUUGUUGUUUGGGGUAUGGUAUAUAUAGCGUUACAAAGAGCACACUGUUAUACGAUACAUAAUUUCAACGAAUAUCAUUAACUGAAUACUUUAUGGUUGAUAUUGAAUAGGAUUAAAAUUCUCCUUUAAUCGAACUUACAAAUAUUACGUAGCAACAAUCUUUUAUUUUUGAGUUUGUAAUAAUCAUAAUUAUUAAUAAUUAUAACUAUUAAAAAUUCAGAUGUUGGAAUUCUCUUUCUAACAAAAUUAUAAAAUUUAAAAGCAACUCAAUGAAAUGAUAUAUGAUUUGUUUUAACUUAAUAAGAGGUUUUGAGAGGUUUAUGGAAUUAUUGGCAAAUAGACAUUUUAAUGGUCACAUAUAACAGUUACAAGUAGCUCCAUAAUUGAAUUAUAUAUAUAUAUAUAUAUAUAUAUAUAUAUAUAUAUAUAUUAUUAUAUAUAUAUAUAUAUUAUAUAUAAUAUAUAUAUAUAUAUAUAUAUAUAUAUAUAUAUAUAUAUAUAUAUAUAUAUAUAUAUAUAUAUAUAUAUAUAUCGACGACGUUACAUAGGAAUAUCUCAAAAGGACAUGGGUUUUAAUUUUAUUUCUCUACUUUAAUUUAUUCACGUGAUGCUUUGCAAACCAUUUAUGGUGACGUACAAUCAUUUUUCCUGAACAGGGGGGUCCAUUUGCAAAGUAGAUGUGAUAGCUAUAAUGUAUAAAUUAUUAUUAAUAAAAAUUCAAUUUACACUAGUAACAUUACAACAUUUCCAUUUUGCAUAAAAGAAAUGACAAAGGACUUAAAUAUAGCACUGAACUAGUGGACAAUAUAAUGGUAUUUGCAAGAAGCUACAUAUAUGAUUGGUUCAAAUUAAAAGGAGAGGGAAAAAGUUUAGUUACAUAGGUUUAAAAUUGAAGAGUGAAAAUAAAAAGAUUUUAAUUACAAAUGUGUUUGGUUCAAAGAUGAAAAUGAAAUAUUUAAAAUAUUUUUUUUUUAUAAUUGUAAUUUUGCAACAAGAUUUUUCAUAUUUACCAUUAUAAAUCAUAAAUCGAAUACUAUUUUAAUAUCAAAUAUAAGUAAUCAAUUAAAAAACAUCAUAUAAUAUUUUAUAAAGACGUCACAAUGAUAAUAUAUAAUUUGAAAAGAUUAUUAAAUACUAUAAAAUCUAAAAAAGAUUAUUAGUAUAUAAACAAAUAAAAAGAUAUUUAAAAAGUGAUACUAAAAUUUUAAAAAUAAAAUAAAUUUUAACAUAUUUAAUAAAUAAUAAAAUGAAAAUAUAAAUAUGUUUUAAACAUAUUUAAUUAUUUUAAAUUUAAUUUGUUAUUUAUGUACUUAGUGUUUUCUUCAUUUUAAUUGUUAUUUAAUUGUUAUUUAUUGAUAUAUGACAAGAGAAUAAUUAGAAUACAUUAUUACUGUAAAAUCAAUCAUGUAAUUAAAAUUAAUCUUUUCCACACAUAAACAUCAUAAUAAAAUUUAUAUUAUAAUUAAAUUAUUCUACCAGAUAUUUUUAGCCAUCUACGUAUUUAUAGAUAUUAUUGAAAUUAUAAUUUAUGUGUUUGUGGAAUUUCAAUAUAUUUCUUGCAAUAACUAAUAAAUAAUAAUGCGCAUGUAUAUUCAUCACACAAGUUAUAUAUUAUUAAAUGAAAAGAUAUUAUCAUAUAAAUAAUUUUAAAAUUUUGAAAAUUAAUUUAUAAUAGGUGACCAACCAAGGCGUGAAUUGGGGAAUAUUUCCAAAACACUCAUCAUCCAAAAGAGGUCUAAAAGCAAACUCGAUUAUAGGAUGGAUAUUCGAUUUCGCAAAGGGGAUACGAAUCUUACUCGACUGGGGAAGAACAAAAGGCUUCAUGCCCUCAAAAUAUACAAAAAAUAACAUAAAAAAAUACUUUAUUAAAAUGUUAAUUUUGAAGUAAUUUGAUAAUAUAGGCACUAUUUAUUAAUUAAUCUCAAAAAUUAUGAGUAUGAUUUAUAUAUAAUAUCUUUCAACUCAAUGAUUCUAAAACUUACUCAUCCAACAGUUUAAAUUCAACCAAUUAAAAACAUUCCAAUUUGCCAACGUGUCUGGUUCAAUCUCAGACCACCUGAGGAAAACUUCGGUCGUCUUUUUUGGUGAGCUCUCACUGGAGUUUCAUCAUUUUGUAAAUUCAAGACAAGAGACCACUGUCAUUGUGAUCCUCUUCUCAUCCCGAAUUCAACCUCAUACUCCAAAUUCAUUUAUGUGAACUAAGCAAAGGGAAUUUCAAAGAAGUUUCAGAAACAAGCAAGCCACGAAAAAUAAAAUUAAAUGAUGAACACGAACAAUCAACAUAAGAUAAGUUAGGGGAAAGCAUCAGAGAGUGAAUGACUACAUUGUGGUAACUUGUUUGAGUUCAAAUGAUGCUCAGAACUACCUUGUCCAGAUGGUGAUCAAAAGUUGAUGAAGCUCGAUCUGGUUAGAGCACUUUAGGAAGUCUCAGAGCUUGGGAAUUUGUUGCAAAAGUUUCAGAGGAUGCCGAUGGAGCUAAGGGAAUCAAGAAAUUGGAAUGAAACAAGUUGAAACUCAAAACACGAUAGUUGAAUUUUCUGGAAAAAUUUCAAGUUGCAGUAGGGAUUUCUUGGCUCUCCAAAGCUUGCAAAUGAAGGCAAUAACUUCCUCUAUUUAUAGGGAAUGUGUUUGGAUCCAAAUACGUGUCGAAUGAUGCAGAAUUCGUGCAAAACGAAUUUGAUCUAAAUGUGUGAAAAGUGUGACUUAAAACUCAUCAAAACUCAGCCAAAUGACGCAUGUUAAGUGUCAAUUAACUUCUGGAGACUUGUUAAAACAUGUUUAGGAUCAAAACACUUGUUAAUUUGGCUUGGAAUUGAGAUUAGUCAUGAUCAAAUUUCGGGCAAUGGUGAUUUCUUUAGUUCAAAGUCACCAAGUUCAACUUAAUGGGGCAUCCUACUCAAGAGGCUUUUUGAUCCCAUUCUUUUUGCAAUGUGUUAACAUCAGGACCAAGAUUAUAAUGUGCCAAGAAAGGUUUCAUUUGCAUGUUUGAGCACAAAGUUAUGGUAUGUUGAAUGUUAAAGUUAUGGCAUAUUGAAGUUGGCAUAAAAUACUUUGUUGUUUGCUUGACAAUCCAAAGGAAAUGGGUUUCUAUCGGACACUAUUGUAUUAUGGAUGCUUCCCAUGGGUUAGAUCUUUUCAACUCAAAACUCUUAAUCUUGUCUAAGAUAGACUCUUCAUCUCCACCUCAUUCUUCUUAAAUUUCAAUAUCUCCUUCUCAUUUUUAAAACUUCUUUGCUUGUUGUUUUUCAACUUAGACUUGUUUUAAUGAUUAGAAACCUUGGUCUUAUGCCAUUGAUUUUCAAACUAUUUUCUUAAUCAAACUUGUAAGAAGACUUAAUCAUAUUGACUUUAUUUUCAAAAAAUACCAAAAAAAGAACUAAUAACCUCAUCUAAUCAUUUUGGCCACUUGGUGCCUUUUUUCUUUUAAGCUUUUAAAAAAGAGAGCAUUUAGAUUUGAGUUAUCCUUGGUUGAUAUGUAAUUCUCCCAUUCCAUGAUAUGCUGAGUGUAAGACUUUCCAUUUACUAGGGGUUAGAGGCAUACUUGUUGAUUUAAUCCGAGUUGAAGCCCUCCCUCUUAAAUUUUGUAGAGCCCUCAUUAUCGGUGGAUGUUUGGUUGAGUAUUCUCCCAUUGAUAACAAAAGAUCUUUAAGCUUUUGUUAAAAUCAAUCCACCCAUCUUUGAAAUUUUUACCACGAACUACGAGGUUUUGAUCCCUCAUUUAUGUUGGUACGUAGGCAUUAAACCAAAAGUCUUGUCAAACAAAAAAAUGUAAAUAAUGAAUUCUUUUCUCAUCCCCUCAUUCUAUUUUUAAAACAAACAUCUUUUCAACCAAAACAAGUACACACAAAAGGGCUCCCUAGGAGUACCUAGGAUACUUUGGGUUCUAAUACCUUCCCUUUGUGUAACCAACCCCCUUACCUAUAAUCUCUGGCAUUUUAUUAGUUUUGAUUUGAAAACUUCUUAUCUUUGGGUUUUGUUCGUACUUACUCCCUUUUUUUAGAAAUGAUAAAAACUCGGUGGCGACUCUGUUUUUAUUGACUUUGAGUUAACCAAUAACUCAGUGGUAAUAAAUAUACCGCUACAUAAAAAAAAGUGGAGAAUCUGCUGCGGAGUAGUCCUCAGUGGGUUUAGCCUACUUUUUGUGUGUAUUAUAUUUGUUGAUUAUUGAUGUUUCAAUAUUUGUAUAUAUUGUAUGUAUGAUAUUUUCUGUCUGUUGCGCUUGGUGAUCUCUGUGUGGUGAGAUAAGUUCUAUACUCGAACUUUAGUGAAAUAUAAGAUAGGAGGGUGGUAUAGUCAUGUUCGACUCGUGUGGAGUAGUCCUUAGCAAGUUGGCUCGAGAAUACAUCACUCAGUGGAGACCCCUUUGGAGUUACUGGUUUCACACGAGUAAGUCGUGGAUAGGCACUACUUUCUCCGACCUAGGAGUCCGAGAAGAUGAGAACCGUAGAACAUUUAACCCGAAUUGGUCUAUUUAGGACGUAGUGCAAAGACCGUUCAAGUGUAGACUUGAUAAGAUUUGUUACGUGAUACUACACUCAAACGAGUUUCUCUUGAAAAUACUACGGGUUGAUGAGUCAGUCAUCCAAACCUAUAAUAUCCGAUAGAUGGGAUCAGGACUCUGGGAACUUUUUAGAACAUGCUCUACAGGUUUUUAUCCUUAGUACACUGCUUUGGGAUGGUUCUUAACUCGACUCCAUGCUUGUAACUCGCAACAAACCCAUUGAUUCUUGGUUGAUACGAUCAGUUACCAUCAAUAAUAAUGGAUCUUGGGUGUUGAUAAGGUGAAAAAACCAAAUCCACCAAAAUUGAUGAUUGAUCUUGACGAUGACUUGAUCUAUCCUUUGACCUUUGUUUGUGUUUGCCUUGUGUGUGAUCCCUUGUAUGUGAUUGUUGCAUUCAUGCAUACAUGUACACCAUAACAUUCAUCACAAAAAUAAAUUUCAAGGAACUAAGUGUAAGACCACAAUUUUGACCCUAAGAUCCCUCAUUCCAUCUCAUCAUAUGCAUUAGCAUUGGGAUCACACCUUGGCACCCUCCUUACCCCUUAUUUAUUGGUUUUGCAUUAGGAGAGAUCACCAAGCACAUUUUUGAUUGUAUCAUACUUUAAUUUUCAUUAUUUACUAACUAAAAUACCAAAAAUAUAUCAAUGUAUAGUUUGUUGCUUUUGUAGGUAGUGUGCAUGCUCACCUAUGCUUUAUAAAGCUCAUAUCUAGGGUUUAAGACCUUUAAUGCAAGGAGCACAAUUAAGAAUUAGUUUAAAUUGGUUCUAAGAAUCAUAUAUGGAUCCCCAUGAUCUUCACAUAUCAUUUUGAUCAAGAAAUCAUCAAGAGUUUGGAGUUUGAUUGCCUUGGAAACCCUAAUUCAUCUAGGUAUCUUGUGUGACUUCCUCAACAAGUUUCUUCAACAAUUGAUCAAAUAUAGCAAGGGAUACUUCACAUUUCAUCAUAUUAAACAUAUAUGAUCCUCCAUAAGUCCCAAAAGUCAAGAGAACAUCAAGCUAGCAAGAUGGUUCAUGGUGGUUGACUAGAGGAAGUCAACUGGUCAAAACUGGGGUUCCCUAGACCCAAUCUCCUACAAUUUUUGUAAUAUGAAAAUGAUUCCAAGAGAAACGUUACUCAAAGUGACAUACAAACUGAAGGUGAGAAAAACAAGAAAGGGGGGUUUAAAUUGUUUUGGAAAUAAAUACUUUUUAAAGAAUUAGAACACACAAAAUUUUAUACUGGUUCGCUUAGAAAACAAAGCUACUCCAGUCCACCCGGCCAAGAUGAUUUCGCCUUCAAAAAGGACUUAAUCCACUAAUCUUAAAAGAUUACACAACCAAUCGUCUAAGAGAAUAAUCUGUUAGCCCUCUCAAGUAUACAGACUGCUGUUGAAAAGUAUAUUUUUGGCAAAUAUUUUAAUAUCGUAUCCAAAGAGAUUGGUUGUUAUUACCGCCGUUCUAUAAUCCAAAUUGUUAUAAGUUCAAAAUGUAACCAAGUUGUUUUGUUUGAAAAGUUAUCUUUUGAGUAAAAUGUCAAUGUUAUUACCGCCGUUCUAUAAUCCAAAUUGUUAUAAGUUCAAAAUGUAACCAAGUUGUUUUGUUUGAAAAGUUAUCUUUUGAGUAAAAUGUCACUAAAACAAUAAAAUAGUUUUAAUCAAAUGUAAGAGACUUGACAAGAUUGGAGUUCACUAUUCAAAUUGCUUAUGAUUCCUUUUGACAACUAUAUAGACUUAAGAUUAUUGAUGAUAUUCAAGUAUCCUCUUAAUAUCAUUUAUCUCUAAAUGAUAUUGUGAUAAUCACUAUAUUAAUGGUUAAAUAAUUUCUCUACCUAACUAUCAAUAUAGCAAUCUUUAAUGUUUGAUACAAAAGAAGAGUAGUGGAUAAAUCUAUUUCUACAACUCAUUCACUACUUGAAAGUAUAUUUUAAGUCAAGGUUUGAAUAAUCUUUCUCAACAUCUACUCAAAUCUAAAUAUUCAAAAUAGGGCAAAAAUAUCAUUCAAUACAUCAAUAACCUUUUAUCAUAUAUGAGUCAAAUGAAAUACAUAAAAAAAUAGGAAUAGCUACUACCUCCAAUAUUGACAAAAUGGGGUUUAGCUCCUCAUCAUCAUUUUGGACAGCAAAAUGCAAUGGCUCAAUAAACUCUGUUUUUCUUUUACAAAAUGUGUAUCUAGGAAUCAAUGUUUCUAUGUUUUCCAUUCUGUUUUCUUAAAGAGUGUAAUAUUUCCUAAAAUGUUCAUUUUCAUCUAAAACAGAUACAAAACUGUCACAAUACAGCUGGCUUGAAAACAGAACACUUGGCCCAAACAAAUUGCUUGCUGGUUUCGCAAGGUUCGCGGCGCCAUCCCUGGUCGCGGCGCGAACUGAAGCCAAUUCAGCUUCCUUGCCUUGCAAGCUUCAUGCAAUAAUUCUCCCAAGUGUUGGUCUUCCAAAUUAUGCCUCCAAAUUUCCAUUGAAACUUCUUCCAAAUUAUGCUUAUGCACUCCGAUGCUCUAUUGUCCAAAAACUCUACAAAACUAACAAAUACGUGAAAUAUCUACUCAAAACAUAUUCAUUUAAACUUAAUUGCAUUUUGUCAAAAUUGUGAGGAUAAAAGUGUGUAAUUAGAUAAAAAAUGGUAAAAGGGACCAAUAAAAUUAUAUGAAAAGUAGUACUAAUUGGUCCCUAACAACUCUCCCCAACUUAUAAUUUGUUUGUCCCUAAACAAAAGUUUUCACCAACACAACCAAAGCAAUGACACAAAAGGUUGAAACAAGGAUUAACCAAGGACAUUCAAAUGGUUCAAAAGUGUAUGGCACUUUCUCAAUCUACUUAUCUCAAUGCUAGACAAAACAUGAAUAAGAGUAAUGGUUGGGUGCAAAAAUCAUACCAAGGAAUUCAAAGCCAUACAUGUCAAAAUUGAAUCAAACUUACACACACAUCAUAAUAAUGAUGAAUAAACAUGAAGGUUUACUUUCACUCAUCCAAGCAAUUAAGUCAACAACAACUCGAAUCAUGCGGUCAUCAAAACAAAUACCAAAUCAUGUGAAAAAUGAGAAUCAAGAGGUCUUUCAAGGGUUAUAAUGUGGCUUGGGUUACAAGAAAGGAUAUGAUUAAGAGAAUUCAACAAAAAUGCAUAUCCUAAGGGAGCAUUCCCAUACCUUCAACUCUACACAAUUUCCAUUUCUUUGAUCCCCGUCUUUCUUCUUUUCUUAUUUUACAUCCACACAACCAUGAGCUUUUUCUUUGUUUUUUUCUUUCUUUUCUUUUUCUUUGCUCUAUAGUUACAAGGGUGAUUUCUUUUUCUUGUUUCUUUUCAUACUUUCACCCUUUUAUAAAACAUCACUUUUCCAAGUUUCUAAUAAACUCUUUUUACUUUACUCUCCCCAACUUUAGAUUCCACAACCAAAUUUAUUCAAUAAUGCUCCCUACUUAGACAUAAGCAAAAGGCAAAAUUUGCAAACAACUCGGUUUGAGGGUUCAAUUGAAACGAAAGAAAUUAGGAUUCAUUUAUUCACAAAAUUUUCAAUUGACUUUACACUUAUCAAUCAAAUGAAUCCUAAAACAAGCUCAAAGGGGGUUAACUAAGGAUCACUCCUCACAAGGUUAGUUGAUUCAAAACUUUUUUGGUCAAGUGGUUUUUCUCAUAACAAACAAUGCCUCUAUCAUUUUCACACUUUUCACAAAAAUAGAUUAAUGCAUGAUUUAGUGUACAAUGGAAAGCUUCCUCACAAUUCGUUAAGUCCUAUUUUGAUUCAAAAAUGACAUGUAUCUCAAUGAAUUUAUGAUAUGGAAUUUGCAACACACCAUCAAACUACUCAUGUUAAGUCUAGAAAGCGAUAAAGUGUACCUUGAAAUGUCGACACUAGUUCUUAUCAUCACCACUCGAAGUGUCCUACGCUUCCUUCUUUGCAAACAUUUCUUAGUUGCUUUAAGCUUGACUUAAGAAUAAGAACAAUUAAACAAACAAAUGUUGGUAUACCAAAUUCAUUGUAACACACACUUAAAUCUCACAUAAUAUUCAUGCAAUUAACAAAACAAAUUAACAACCCAAAGUUUAUGGUGAAACUAGAGCCACCAAAAGUACAAUCAUAAAUAAACAAAAACAAUAAUAAUAAUAAAAACUCAAAAAUAAAAUUCUACUAUAAUUCAAAUAAACUCCUCAAUCUUCCUCCUCAUGGCCACCACCAACGGAACCAAGGACAUCCUCCAUCUCAUCGUCAUGGGUCGCACCACCUCCUGCACCCCCCAUAAAAGUUGGCCUGCCCUCAGACCAAUUAGCAUAAGCAACAUACUCCGCCUGGGAAGGGAAAAUGCGAGCUUCAGGUGCAAGGAAGGUGUUUUGAAAUUGUUGCUGCAUAGCAUCAAAAAUGAAUGAUUGAGACCUCCUAGAGGCCUCAAAGCUCUCACAGCAAUAAGUAGCGAACGCCAUCUGAUCGAAUGCUGGAGUACUGCGGGCUCGGGGUCUAGAGGAAGAAGUCCCAGCUCUUUCGGCUCUGUCCAUCUGGCUCUGGAAAAACUUGUUCAGAUAAGCAUCAUUAAUAACACUAGUGAUAGACAAGUGUACCUCAUCCGGAAUGGGAACAUUUGCCCUUCGGCAAAGUCCCAUAAUCAGCCCCGGAUAUGUUAGAACACCCGCUUUCCCACCGAACUUCGUUCCGCUAGUAGCCAUUUUGCGCAUUUCCCCCGCAAUGAUGGACGCCACAUCUACAGAUUUACCAAUCAUGAUGUAGUACAAUAGGCAUCCUACAUCCAAUGGAAUAGUGGUGUUGUGACUCCUUGGCCGGAUAUUAUUCAAAAGCAGCACCAAAUAUGCCCUUGCCUCCAAGUUCAAACUUUCUCUCUUCCACGACUUUGGGAAUCCCUGAUCAUUUAAAUCAUAAGUCCUUCCUUCAAGGCAUAGGUGAGCUCUCACGGUAGGAAAGUCCCAAUCGUUGGCCAUCUCUUUGGAACGGUACUCGCACCGCCCAUUCUCCGCCAAGGUGAGAGGAUUACCUAAAUACGCGUUAAUUGCGUCUCUACUGAAAGAAAUGAUCUUUCCCCUCACUCUUGUUUGAUAAUGGAAUGCCACUCCCUCCUCCAGCUGAAGAGCAUUGGCGAAUAACUUACGCACAAUGUCAUAAUUUAUUUCCGGCUCCGGUUCACAAAUCUUAUUCCAUCUUCUUCUUUCAAAAUUCGACACCAACUUCCUAUAAGUUCCACCCGACGACAAGCGGAUGAAUCUUUCCGGUUGAAUGGUUCGUUUGAUCAAUUUUUCGAAUCUCUCUUCAUGCUCAUCGCUUGUGAAUCGUCGCACGGAACGAGAAGGACCGACACUUGUGGUGUUUGUUCUUUUUGACAUCUGCAACAAAAAUCAGAACAACCACACAAAAGCCAUAAGAGAAGUUAGCAUUCAAAAGCAAAAAUCAUGAAACUGGAAUUUUCCAGUUCGCGGCGCGACUGCCCCUUCGCGACGCGAACCCUGCGAACCAGGAAAAUAACAGGUGCCUUCUAGGGUUCCCACUGCUCACACCUUUCAACAAUUACAACCACAAUCCCUUACCCAAUCCUAAUUUGAAUCCUCUAUAGACAGGCAAGGCUAUUUUCAGCAUCUAAUCCAAAUUUUUGCAAAACCCUAUUUCACCUAAAUGAGGAACAAAAAGGAAAGGAAAGAGAGAGUACACAUACCUUGUUGAAUUUGACUUGGUUCUUGUUAACAACUUGGGAUUUUGGGAAAGGAGAGGAAUAGUUUUUGAAUUUUGGAAGUGAGGUUGAAGAAAAUUUUGAAUUUGUGAAAAUAGGAAUGAAAUGAAAAUAACAUAAAACAGAACUUAAAAGGGUUCUUCCAUGCUCAGUUCGCUGGGCGAACUCUAUUCGCGACGCGAACCUUAAUUUUUCCAUUCAGUUCGUGAGGCGAAGCCUGUUCGCGGGGUGAACUGAAGGAAAUUUUAGAAAAAUAUUAGCAGUGGCCAGAACUCAAUUUUCACUAAAAAGGAACACAACAGAAUAUCUUAACAAAUGAAUUGACAAAACUUGAAAUGCAAACUUACAACGUUGGGUUGCCUCCCAACAAGCGCUUUGCUUAACGUCGUUUUGAGCUCGACGGUUCAAUGAUCAUCACGUCCGGAUAGGGAAAUGACACAAACGUCCCGAUUCACAUCUCCAUUGUGGUAGACUUUUAGUCUUUGUCGAUUUACAGUCCAGCUCUCCUGUGACUUUUGAUCCUCAACCACAACGGCCCCAUGGUUUCGCACCUCCUUUACAACAAACGAUCCUGACCACUUUGACUUUAGCUUACCAGGAAACAACUUCAAUCUUGAGUUGAAAAGCAGUACCAUUUGUCCAACUUUAAACUCUUUAUGACGGACCUUUCCAUCAUGGUACGCUUUCACUUUUUCCAGUACCAUUUGUCCAACUUUAAACUCUUUAUGACGGACCUUUCCAUCAUGGUACGCUUUCACUUUUUCCUUGUACAGUUUGUUUGAAUGGUAAGCGUUGUUCCGUGAUUCCUCCAAUUCAUGGAGUUGCCCUUUUCUUUUCUCUCCAGCUAAAGUGGAGUCAAACUUCAAGAAUUUGAGAUCCCAUAAUGCUCUAUGCUCCAUUUCCACCGGGAGAUGACAAGUCUUCCCAUACACCAUCUGAAAUGGGGUUAGUCCAAUAGGAGCUUUGUAGGCGGUACGAUACGCCCACAAAGCUUCAUCCAAUUUUAAUGACCAAUCUUUUCCUGAACUCGAGACUGUUUUUUCAAGGAUCUUCUUAACUUCUCGGUUAGAAACUUCCGUCUGACCAUUCGCUUGUGGAUGGUAGGGAGUGGUCACCUUAUGCUUUACACCAUAGUGUUGUAAAACUUUUUCCAAAGGUGUAUUGCAAAAGUGUGAUCCUCCAUCACUUAUCAACAUCCGAGGCACACCAAAACAUGAGAAUAUGUUUUUCUUUAAAAAAAUUAUCACCGUUUUGGCAUCGGCCUUAGGUGAAGCAAUUGCUUUCACCCACUUCGAAACAUAAUCAACGGCCACGAGGAUAUACUCAUUUGAGAAGGAAGAGGGAAAUAGGCCAACGAAAUCAAUACCCCAACAAUCAAAAACUUCUACUUCUAACAUGUUGGUUAGAGGCAUUUCAUCCCGUUUGCCUAUUCCUCCACUUCGUUGGCAUGUGUCACAACUCUUCACGUGUUCAUAUGCAUCUUUAAACAAAGACGGCCAAUAAAAGCCCGCUUGAAGCACUUUAGUGGUUGUUCUCAAACCGCUAUAGUGACCUCCAUACGGAGAGUUAUGACAAUGCCAAAGGAUGUCUUUUGACUCCUCAAAUGUUACACACCUUCUCAAAAUACUGUCCACACCCACUUUAAACAAAUAAGGAUCAUCCCAAACAUAGUAUUUUGCAUCCGCCAAUAAUUUCCUUCUUUAAUUACUAGUGAGGUCUUCCGGUGUUAAACCGGUUGCCUUGUAAUUAGCAAAAUCGACAAACCAAGGCCUCACUUGAAUCGCAUAAAGUUUUUCAUCCGGAAAUUCUACUCUUACUUCCUCUUCUUUGUUUGUAAUUUCCACAUUAACCAAACAAGACAAAUGAUCCGCUACCAAGUUUUUGGAACCUUUUUUAUCCCGGAUUUCCAAAUCAAACUCUUGCAAUAAUAAAAUCCAACGAAUUAAUCUUUGUUUGGAAAAUCCGGCUUGGUUAGCAAAUACUUGAUUGCCGAAUGGUCGGUGUAAACUACAACUUUAGACCCUAUCAAAUAAGCUCUAAAUUUUUCCAAUGCAUACACUAUAGCUAGUAAUUCCUUUUCGGUUGUCGCAUAAUUGACUUGCGCCUCAUUUAAAACUUUACUAGCAUAGUGGAUAACAUGAAUUUUUUUAUCUCUUCUUUGACCCAAAACCGCACCCACCGCAUAAUCACUUGCAUCACACAUAAGUUCAAAAUCAAGUGUCCAAUUCGGUGCAACGAUUAUGGGUGCGGUGACUAACUUUUCUUUCAAAUCAAGGAAAGCUUUUAGACACGAUUCAUCGAAAAGAAAUUGUGUACCUUUGUUGAGCAAAUUACUCAAGGGCUUUGCUAUCUUUGAGAAAUCCUUGAUGAAUCUCCGGUAAAAUCCGGCAUGUCCGAGAAAGCUCCUUAUUACUUUUAUAUUUGUUGGAGGUGGUAAUUUUUCAAUGACUUCCACCUUUUCUCUAUCAACUUCUAGCCAUUCGGAGGAGAUUUUGUGACCGAGAACAACACCUUCGGUGACCAUAAAGUUGCAUUUCUCCCAAUUGAGCACUAAGUUGGUUUCCACACAUCUUCCCAAAACCACAUCAAGAUUUUUCAAGCACAAAAGAGAUUUUGUGACCGAGAACAACACCUUCGGUGACCAUAAAGUUGCAUUUCUCCCAAUUGAGCACUAAGUUGGUUUCCACACAUCUUCCCAAAACCACAUCAAGAUUUUUCAAGCACAAAUCAAAGGGCGAUCCAUAAACGGAGAAAUCAUCCAUAAACACCUCAAUGCAUUCUUCGAUCAAAUCCGAGAAUAUCACUUGCAUACACCGUUGAAAUGUUGCCGGUGCAUUACAUAACCCAAAAGGCAUUCUUCGGUAAGCAAAGAUGCCGAAAGGACAUGUAAAAGCCGUCUUCUCAUGAUCCGCCGGAUUGACCGAAAUUUGGUUGUAACCCGAAUGACCAUCCAAGAAACAAUAGAAAUUUUUGCCGGCCAACCUUUCCAACAUUUGGUCUAUGAAAGGUAGCGGGGAAGUGAUCUUUCCUUGUAGCUUGGUUUAGCCUUCUAUAGUCAAUACACAUCCUCCACCCGGUUACCGUUCUAGUUGGAAUCAACUCAUUUUUAUCAUUUUUGAUAACCGUCAUGCCACCUUUUUUUGGAACUACUUGCACCGGACUAUUUAGUACAAUCAUCACCAAGGAACACAUACUUCAAGUGUGAAGGUAGCAUUUUCAACUCUAGUUUUGGUUCUUCCACUUUCUUUGUCACAUCCAAGUCUUCAUUUGUCUCUUCAUGAUAAGCAAGCGCUCCACAAGACUCUAAUUCAUUCAACAUUGCUUCAAUCUCUUUUUCUUCAUUUUCGGUUAAAACAUUGUAGGCUCCGAUAAGAGAUCUCUCUAAUGAAUUAGAAACAUGAACUUGGUUUGCGACCUCCACUAUUUCCUCCUCGUUGGCAUCGAUUCGGAAAGAAUCAUGUUUGUCAUUAGGAUGCUUCAUGGCUUCAAAAAGAUUGAAAGUUACCUCUUCAUCUUGCACUCUUACUUUCAUUAAUCCAUCAUCAAUGUCAAUCAUCAUUCGGGCUGUUUUCAUGAGUGGUCUUCCAAGAAUUAGAGGAACAUCAUGAUCCUCAUCCAUAUCCACUAUCACAAAAUCUACCGGAAACAAGAAUUUGUCCACCUUCACUAGCAUAUCUUGAGCAACUCCAUAUGGUGAAGUGGUAAACUUAUCGGCUAGUUGUAAAGUCAUCCUUGUAGAUUUAAUCUCAAUAUUUCCCAAUAUUUUAAAAAUGGAUAGGGGGAUUAAAUUGAUGCUAGAUCCCAAGUCAAUCAAACCAUUACCAAUGUAAGUGCCUCCAAUGGUUACCGGUAAAACGACUCGGCCCGGAUCGGAUUCCUUCCUUGGGAAAGUUUUUUUGGAUUAUGGCGCUACAUCGUGCAUCAAGCAAGAUUGUCGUGUCUUCCACAUGUCUCCUUUUCUUUGUGAGAGUAUCCUUCAUGAACUUUGCAUACCGUGGCAUUUUCUCUAAUGCGUCGGCAAAUGGAAUAUUUAUUUGAAGUUAUUUGAAUAUGUCCAUAAACCGUGCAUAGUGUCUAGCAUUAUCCUUUUUUGAUGGUGCAUGUGGAUAAGGUAGAUGUUGAGUUGGAAUGACACUCACGCCUUUGUCUCCUUUCUUCUUCUUUCUUGGCUCGGCUUCCUUCUUCAUUUCCACUUCACCCUGCUGCUCUGCUGUCAGUUGUUGGUUCUGCUCUUUUCGCGGUGCGAAGGGAGAUCGCAGUGUGAACUGAACAGUUUCUGCCACUUUCUCCUUUUCACAAUCCACAUCCUCAUUUUCAUGUACAACAUCCAUAUCAUUCUCUACUGUAAUCUCCUCACUUUUUCCACUUGUCAACUCUUUACCGCUUCUCAUAACAAUUGCUUUACAAUGCUCCUUUGGAUUGGUUUGAGUGUUAGCGGAGAAUGAAGAUCCCGCGUUUUGUUCCGACAAUUGCUUCGCAAGUUGGCCUACUUGGUUUUCCAAAUUCUUGAUUGCUACCUUGUUGCUCUUCUGAUUUGCCAUGGAGGCUUGCAUGAAUUGUUGAAGAGUGUCCUCUAGCUUUGAAUUUCCUCCUUGCGAUUGUUGUCCUUGAGAAUUUGGGUGUUGAUAAGGACUUUGUUGCUGAAAAUUUUGGUUGUUGAACCUUGAUGGUUGAUAACCUUGAUUGUUUCUUGGAUAUGAGUUGUUGUGAGGUGGAGGUUGUCUUUGAUAGCCAUGAUUUUGAUUGUUAACAUGACUCACUUCUUCUAGUGGAGGACAAAAACCGGUUGGAUGAUCUCCUUGACAUAAUUCACAACAUGCUACUUGAUGUCUAACUUGAGAUCCUUGAAUUUCCUUCAUUUGUUGUGGGAGUUUGGACAUUUGUUGUGUGAGCAAUUCCACUUGUUGAGAAAGUAGUUUGUUUUGAGCAAGAAUGACAUCAUUAGUAUUUAACUCAAGAACUCCCGGUUUCUGUUGUGAAGGACCACGGUCAUGUUGACUUUGACGAUCAUUUAGUGCCAUCCGGUCAAUAAUGACUUUUGCCUCUUCCGCAUUCUUUGACAUAAGAGAGCCACCCGCGGUAGCAUCCAAAAGUGUCUUGUGAGUUGAUUGGAGCCCAUUUAGAAAAAUAUGGAUUUGAGUGAGCUCAUCAAAACCAUGGCCUUUGCAUUUUCUCAACAUUGACUUGAAUCUUUCCCAAGCCUCAUUUAGAGACUCGUUGCUUCCUUGAGUGAAUACCGCAAUAGCCGUUUUGGCUUCCAUGAAUCAGGAUUGAGGAAAAUAUCUUUCUAGAAACUUUUCUUCUAACAAAUUCCAAUCCGUCAUCACUCUUGGUGCUUGAUCAAGGUACCAUUCUUUUGCCUUUCCCACUAAGGAGUGUGGGAACAUCCUCUUGAAUAAUGCUUCUUCACUCGUUUCGUCUAUUCCCGUAGAACCCACAAUCUCAUAGAAUUUGAUGAGAUGGGUAUACGGAUCUUCAUGGUCCAUUCCGGUGAAUGGAUUUGCAUAAAGGAGUUGGAGGAUUCCGGUCUUCAUCUCCGAAUUCCUUCCACCGCGAGCAAAUUGGGCAUUCCUUCUUGGACUAUUAGCGGACAUUUCGGUAGGAGUUUCAUCCGCCAUGUUUCCUUGAAAAGUCUCUACAACCACUUCUUCGAUUUGAACAAGUGAAGAAGUAGAUACUUCCUCUCUCCGCUUCCUCUCUUCGGCUAGUUUCCUUCUUUUUCGUGUUUUGCUAUUGAGCUUUCGAAGUGUUCUUUCAAUUUCAGGAUCGAAUUGAAAUUUCUCCUUGGUAGCUUUUCCUCGCAUGCACUAGAAUCUACAAAACUAACAAACCAAGUGAAACACAAAAGUGGUAGUAAGUACAAAAUUUAGAACAAUGAAUUAUUGCAAUGCUUGUAAUAUCGAACACCAAUCCCCGGCAACGGCGCCAAUUUGUUGAAAAGUAUAUUUUCGGCAAAUAUUUUAAUAUCGUAUCCACAGAGACUUUUUUGUUAUUACCGCUGUUCUAUAAUCCAAAUUGUUAUAAGUUCAAAAUGUAACCAAGUUGUUUUGUUUGAAAAGUUAUAUUUUGAGUAAAAUGUCACUAAAACAAUAAAAUAGUUUUAAUCAAAUGUAAGAGGCUUGGCAAGAUUGGAGUUCACUAUUCAAAUUGCUUAUGAUUCCUUUUGACAACUAUAUAGACUUAAGAUUAUUGAUGAUAUUCAAGUAUCCUCUCAAUAUCAUUUAUCUCUAAUAAUAUUGUGAUAUCACUAUAUUAAUGUUAAAUGAUUCUCUACCUAACUAUCAAUAUAGCAAUCUUUAAUGUUUGAUACAAAAGAAGAGUGUAGUGAUAAAUCUAUUUCUACAACUCAUCACUACUUGAAAGUAUAUUUAAGUCAAGGUUUGAAUAAUCUUCUCAACACUACUCAAAUCUUAAAUAUCAAAAAUAGGGCAAAAAUAUCAUUCAAUACAUCAUAACCUUUUAUCAUAUAUAAGAGUCAAAUGAAAUACAUAAACAAAUAGGAAUAGCUACUACCUCCAAUCUUGACAAAAUGGGGUUUAGCUCCUCAUCAUCAUUUUGGACAGCAAAAUGCAAUGGCUCAAUAAAAUCUGUUUUUCUUUUACAAAAUGUGUAUCUAGGAAUCAAUGUUUCUAUGUUUUCCAUUCUGUUUUCUUAAAGAGUGUAAUCUUUCCUAAAAUGUCCAUUUUCAUCUAAAACUGAAAAGCACUCUAAAACAGAUACAAAACUGUCACAAUACAGCUGGCUUAAAAACAGAACACUUGGCCCAAACAAAUUGCUUGCUGGUUUCGCAAGGUUCGCGGCGUCAUCCCUGGUCGCGGCGCGAACUGAAGCCAAUUCAGCUUCCUUGCCUUGCAAGCUUCAUGCAAUAAUUCUCCCAAGUGUUGUUCUUCCAAAUUAUGCCUCCAAAUUUCCAUUGAAACUUCUUCCAAAUUAUGCUUAUGCACUCUGAUGCUCUCUUGUCCAAAAACUCUACAAAACUAACAAAUACGUGAAAUAUCUACUCAAAACAUACUCAUUUAAACUUAAUUGCAUUUUGUCAAAAUUGUGAGGAUAAAAGUGUGUAAUUAGAUAAAAAGUGGUAAAAGGGACCAAUAAAAUUAUAUGAAAAGUAGUACUAAUUGGUCCCUAACAACUGCGCAGAGUCACUUGAGGAACAAAAGCAAUUUAAGCAAAAUAGAUUUGUAAUGUAAGGUGCUUCUAAGAGUAAGCAAGUAUUACAACAAAGUAUUAGAACAAGAGUUUUUCACGUAAGAGCAGGAGCUAGUGAAAAAAUGAGAGAGAAUAUGAAUGACUUUUCUGUGCGUUGCAGGUGUGUCUCUCAAGUGAGGUAGACUGUCCUUUAUAUAGUAGUGAGAAGGACCAUUGGAGUGAUGACAAAAUCUUGGUCUUUGAUGAGUAUUCAAUGUCAUUACUUCUGUGUUUCUUUCUAUAACCAUUUUGUUUGCCGUUUAAAUUCUUUCUAAAAAUACUUUCUUUCCAUAGUAAGAUUUAUUUCCGUUAUGCUUUCUGGACUUGUGAAUCUUCAUCAGAGUCUUGAGGUACCAGACUUAUUCUUUAGAGGAUGAUCAUGUCUGACUUCAUCAGAGCUUCUCAGAGUAUUAGUCUUCUUAAAUAUCAGAGUCUGAGACCAGUAGUUUGUUGGAGCUUCUGGAUCUUUUUGCUGUCUUUCUUUGAUCAGAGUUAGAACUUCUUGGACGUACUUCUUUCUCAGUGGAGCUUCUGGAUCUUUUUUGCUGUCUCUCUUUGCUUUCUUCAUAACAUUACAUUACAUGAAAGAAACUCGUUUUACAUACGAGGGAGUGAGAUGAGAAAAGAAGUUAAAUUGAGAGAUUAAAAGAGAGGCACGACACGCAGGUCGUAUUUUAAAACCCAAAACAAAAUAAAGGAAAACUAAGGCCAUAACCGAUCACCACAAGACAAUAAUAAUCACAUUAUUAUUAUUAUCAAUUUUAAUUCUUUUAAUCAAUUAAAUCUCGACGACCGAUCACAUUAUGCAGAGUUAGCCGAAUGGGUGCAUUCUGUCUUGCGUUAACCGGUUAACCAAAUGCGUUAACCGGUUAACACUGUUUGAAAAUCUGUUCAAAAUUGUUUUCUGCCUUGCGUUAACCGGUUAACCAAAUGCGUUAACCGGUUAACACUAUUUGAAAAUCUGUUGGAAAACUGUAUUCCGCCUUGCGUUAACCGGUUAACCAAAUACGUUAACCGGUUAACACUGUUUGAAAAAGUGUUUAGAAAGCAGUAUUCGUCUUGCGUUAACCGGUUAACCAUAUGCGUUAACCGGUUAACACUAUUCGAAAAAGUGUUUAGAAAGCACAACUCUUGUGCAGUCACAACCCCAAUCGCAUAACUCUCUGACAACACAACCCUUGUCUCGUCACUAACCCUGAUGCACCAAUUUCAGACCGUCAAACACAUCUCGAUUGUUGAUUCAGUAUGAUUGAUCAACACCUCAUUGCUUCACCAUACUAAUGUCGGAUCAAGAAGCAAACGACCAUUGAUCGCUCAAAGGAAAACAACCAUUGAGUGUUUGAAUGAACGAAACGAGAACACUAUAUCAUAUAUAAUGUAUUUUGCAUAAAGCAAACGACCAUUGAUCGCUCAAAGGAAAACAACCAUUGAGUGUUUGAAUGAACGAAACGAGAACACUAUAUCAUAUAUAAUGUAUUUUGCAUCAGGAUUACUUAUAUCAUAUAUAUAACUUGAUAGAUCUCAAUUUAAUCUUUGAUUCAUUCUGUCUUUAGUCGUAUUAAUACAGAAAAUAAACAGUUAUCAGAUUCAUGGUUUCGUAAGUGGCUCUGAUACCACUGAAGGAGAAUUUCCAUCCAAGGCGCAGCGGAAUUUAAAAAUUUCUCCAUUUAGUGAUCCUUAUGAAUGGGCAUGAUCAGUGAUAGAAUCGUUACCUCUGGUGGCGAUCACGAACGUUGAACGAUGACAACGUCUCUACUCAGUCCACACGAACGGAUUCCUUCAAUCUCAGUGCUAGCUGCUACGAAUGAAGGCUUUGAGUGAGAGGGAGAGAAACAAAAUUGCAGGAAAGAGUUACAAUGCUUCUACCCAAGGGUUCUAUUUAUAUAACAACUUGUGUGGGCUGCAAGCUAAAAAGCCCACUCAAGUGAAUAUGGCCCAUAUCUUAUAAUAUGCCAAAAUCACUUAAGUGUGUGGUACAUUACCAUAUUUCGUAUUCUGCUUAAGUACACCGUACCUUACGAUGUUCUAUAAUUCACUUAAGGGAACCGUACAUUACAGUAUUCCUUAAUUACUCUAUCUCUCAUCAAUUCGUCCUUUGUGUGUGACCCUAUAGGUUUUCGCGGCAUUGGCAAUUAUAUUAAAUCACGUAUUUAACAUAAUAAACAGUGAGCGGUAUCUAGCAACACAUCACUGCUACCCAAGACACGAAAAUGUCAUGUGAUCUGACAAAUCCUUCUGUGAUAAUACUUAUGUGUAUAAUUACCCUUUUGCCCUUAUGUCUAUAUUGAACACAAGGCAUAGACCGUGUCAUCCUUGUCCAGUUCAAUAUUGGGCCCAUAGACAUUUAUCCUGUUACGCAGGAUGGGCAAAUUCCAUCUAGGUCACUCAUGUCCCUCAGCAUGCUUCGUGGAGUACCCAUCAACUGUCUUUAUGGUUAUCCAGUUACGGACAACGUUGGAUCAGCAAUAAAGCACUCGACUCUACAUCUAGGGUCCAUAGUGGUUUCAGGUCGAAGAGUGGUAUACACCAUUAUCACCAUGAGAAUAACUUAUGACACUUUGCAUAACUUUCUAUAUAGUAUUCUCUUAGCAGGUCAAUCCGGUAUAAAUAUUACUCUUAAUAUAUAUACCUAUGUUUAAGACUUGAUAACUCCUUAUCCAUGAUCCAUGAGAUGUGAUCAUCAGUCUACAAACAUAAUAGUCUUCAUGCUUUAAUAUUAUCCCACUUCACAAUAAAGCUCGACUACGGAUACUUUAAGAAUAAUGUCCUUAUGUUUAAUGUGACCUCAUGACCAAGUCACACUUGAUACAUUAAACGGACUAGCUAUUCUAGGGACUUUAUUAAACAAACAUAAUAAAGAAAAAGCCUUUUAUUAUUAAUAACUAAUUCGAUACAAGUACCAAAAGUAUUGGCCUCUAGGGCUUACACCAACAGUACUCCCAGUAGAGGUGAAGAUCCCAUCAAUAAGAGUCUUAAUGGAAGCCAAGUUGACUGAUGCUGAAUGGGUUCAGAGUCGUUAUGACCAACUGAAUUUGAUUGAAGAGAAGAGAUUGACUGUCAUGUGCCAUGGUCAGUUAUAUCAGCAAAGGAUGAAGAAAGCUUUUGAUAAGAAGGUCAAACCUCGUGUGUUCCGAGAAGGUGACCUUGUGCUCAAGAAAGUGUUAUCUUUCGCGCCCGAUUCUAGGGGCAAGUGGACUCCAAACUAUGAAGGUCCAUAUGUUGUUAAGAGAGCCUUUUCAGGCGGUGCUUUGAUACUAACAAAUAUGGAUGGGGAGGAUUUCACUCGUCCUGUGAAUUCAGAUGCAGUCAAGAAAUACUUCGCCUAAAAAUAAAAACAGAAUAGCUCGCUAAGUUGAAAACCCGAAAGGGCGGCUUAGGCAAAAAUGAGCGUCUCGGUGGAUAAAAACCCGAAAGGGCGAUCCACUAAAAGUUAGAGAAUGAAAAAUGAAUAAGGGGGUUAUCCACCUAAUGUUGAGUUACUCACCCUGGGCAAUCAGGCAAAAAUUAGGGAUUCGAACUGCAUCUGACAAACUUAUUCUACAAUGCAUCUGCAGAGAUUCUCGUCAGCCAUCGUAAACUGCAACUUUCAAUACAUACGGAUUCAGAGUUGGUGAGAAUGGCAUUAUGUUCAAUGUAGCCUUUUUCCAAUAUAUAUCACCAAUUUCAAAUUUGUAAAGAUCCAUGGAGUCUUGCCAUUUGCAGACUACCAUUCCAUCAAAUAAAUUUGAGCCUUUAUCCAAUUCUUUGCACUCUUAUGCGUUUCUGUUCAACAAAUAUUUUGCACGUUUUAAUUGAAAAAUAUCAUUGUUUUAAAUAAAUAAAAUUUUCAUAAAUUGUUUUUAAACAAAGUGAACAAUCACAAUGACAAAAGGAUACUUGGGACGUCUUCAGUGUUCUCCCAAGGAUGGUAUAAUUCCCAAAAGGGUAAGACACUUAUUCAUAUUCCCGGCAUACUUGUAUCCUCUUCAUUAUCUUUCAGGUUGGCUCCUCCGCAAGUGCAGAAGAAAGUUUCUACAUCCCACCAAAUCCUCAGAGAGUUUGGAGUUUUGGAAGCGGUCUCAAUCUUCUAGACCCCAGUGAGUCUGGAUUUAGCAUUUGUGUUAUCAAAUAUAUGGUUGUCAUCCCUUGCGUGGAUUGAUCUAAAAUUCCUUAUAGAUUGAUAAAUUGAAUAUGCUAACCUUUCCGAGGAAGUUGGUUUUACCUCACUUCGAGUUAGAAAUCUUUCCGCCAGAAUGAGCCGGAAAUCCCCAGCAUAAGCGGAGUCGUCAUCAAGUUUGAUUUGUAGCUUUUCCCCUUUUGUGGACUUGUCUGCUUUGGAUCUCCAGCAAAUUUGCUCCUCGAUUAUCCUUAGCAGGGUUGAUCUCGCUUUUACUCCCCAGUAUGGUCACCAGUAGGAUAUCCCCAGUAGUUUGUCUACGGGUACUCCCCGAUUUGGUCAACAACCGUGUUUCCCUAGUGGAAUUGUCUGAUCAGAGCCUGUUUGUGGUCAUCUCCCGAGUAGAGUGGUUGAUGAAGAUGUCUAUCUUUCCUUCCCCAGCGGAGUAGUGUCCCUUUCUCCUCGGCAGAUGUGAUUUAUUUAACAGUACAAGGAAAUGUGGUGGCAUUGGAACCUUCUGAUUGGUGGUUGUUCCCCACAGAGUUUCAUUUCCCUCUUCGAUAAUUUCCCCGAUAGAGUUAUUUCUAUGGCGGAUUUUAUUCGUGUUUAGACUCCUCAGCCGAGACUUUGCCUGGUUGCAGAGUGGCAUGAGAGCUUCUGAGGAAGAUGUGUUGAUCAUUUCCCCAGCUGGAGUGAAUGGUUCCCCUUUCCCUGUAGAGAUCUUUGUUUCUCGGUAUCUUUUGCCCCCAUCAGAUUGGAUGUUCUCUAGUGGGCCUGGCUUUCUCUCUUGAGAUGUAGUACCGGAUGUUUGUCCAUUGAUUCUUGGACCUCUUUGUGUUAGAUAUGUCUGUUUGUCAGCAUUCAUCAUACAUAAACCACGCAUAUAUGCAUAAUCUUAACAUUCAGAUAUUCAUGUUGCAUUCUUUGCCAUAUAUAUCUUUGUUUGUUGACUCCUGCUAUUUGGUGAUACAUAUUUCCCAAGCAAAUGUUUGUGUCUGAUCUCUCCAUAUAGAGUCAGCCCCAUAGGCAGAAAGUGUCUAUCCUUUCUUCCAUAUUCCCCACUGAGUUAUGUCCUCGUGGAUGAUUGUUAUUUCAGUUUCCUCCCAACACAUAUAUUGGGAUGAAGUAUCUCCCCUGAGUUAUAUCCUCAUUGGGUUGAGUCUUGUUUCAUUGUGUCUCUCUAGUUUGUUCCUAGACUGACUGCUCUUUUGAUUUCCCCUGCACUUCCCAGCAGUUUAGAUGAAUGAUUACUCAGUAACCAGUAAUUGCCCAUCUAUUCCCCGACGGAGUCUGUGGCCUUCUACCCAGUAACUGGUAGUUGUAAGUCCUAUUUCUGUGGUUUUCUACCCGCAUACUGGUAGUUGUAAAUCCCAUUUUAUCCCCUUGCAGAGUUAACCUCGUUUUGUUCAUCCUAACCGAUGACGGUUACUCUCUUAUAUGGUUUUCUACCCAUUAUCCGGUAGACGUAAUCCCCUCUUUGUUGGUUAUCUUUAUCCAAUAUUCGGUAUUGAUAUUCCUUCCUUUUGAGUAUAUCUCCCAGUAACCGAUGAUAUAUCUCUCGGAUCAUUGCCUUUGUCAAUGUAUCCCCAGCGAGUCAUCUUUCAUUUACCCUUGGCUGGUAAUGGUCGUUUCUCCCUUUGAUUGUGUUAGACUAUGGCACGGAUCUAGAAGGGGGGGGGGGGGUUGAAUAGAUCCCAAUUAAAAAUAAGUCGGCGCUACCAAUUAAAAAUUGGUUUUGAAAAUUUAUUUUAAGUGCGGAAGCGGCCGAGGAAAAUGUAGUCUAAAACGAACUGUUAUUGGAAAACCGAAUAUGCGUCUAGCCUAUGGAUUAGUGAUAAUGUGAAAUAAGAAUCACUACACUAGUCACACAAUCAAUGAUUUGUUUCACUUACUAGGAUUCCUAGUUCCAAUGAUUCAAAGAGCAAACCAAACUAGAUACACAACUAAGAUAAUUUUGGUUUAGGCAAAUUAUCAAACACUUGGUGUGUGAAAACACUCCAAGUGAUAUUUAUGUUGAGUAAGUGAUUCCAAUUAAUCUAGUACAAUAUCCUAUUGUACUUUGGAUUCAAAAACAGAGUUUUAACCUCUUACUCAUUUAAUAUCAAGGUUUGAUAAAAGUGCUUAUACUAAAAUCACUUAAUUUUUAAGCUAAAAACAAUUAUGUAGAAAAUUAAAGAAGACAAAGAUUUGAUGAGGCAGUUCCCCCGCCGUCCUCGCUUCGGGGUACGUCUGCCCUUGUCGCAUCCGCGAAAAACAACCGGCGGGAAAAAACAAACAGACAGAGCCGCCACCGUGCGUUAUUUAUCCCAAAUGAGGGAAAGGAAACGCUCGAAGUAAACCUGGAAAGGAAAUGGUCUUACGGCCGGAGAUUGCAAGGAUCGGGAGUCGGUUACGCGAGGGGAAGGUAUUAGCACCCCCUCACGUCCGUCGUACUCGACGGGAUCCACGCUCAAGAGAAUAGAAUAAGGUUGCUGAAUAACUGAUCAAAGAAUGCACACACACUGGAAUAAACAGGCGGGAGAGGAUGGAAGAAGAGGAAGGUGACUCGGCAGGAUGUCGCAUCCUGGGCCUACGUAGUUUGUCAGAAACAAACAUCAGAGUCGACGUAGUUCGGGGAAAAGGGGAACAGGCUCGCUAGGAUAUCACAUCUUAUGCCUAUGUAUCUCAUCUGGAAUGAGAAUCAGAGCUACCGUAGUUCGGCUCACGCACGCCGAAACAAAACACACGCAGAGACGCUGAGACGUCAAAAGCAAACACACAAAUGGAAACAGACUGCCAAUGGCUGGUCUUACGUCCGACUCCAAGCAACAAACACAAACGAGGAAACCGAAUGCCAAUCACUGGACUUACAUCAGACUCCACACACAAACACACAGGAAACCGACUGCCAAUCGCUGGACCUACGUCAGACUCCACACAAACACAAACAGGAAACCGACUGCCAAUCGCUGGACAUACGUCAGACUCCACACAAACAAACACAGGAAACCGACUGCCAAUCGCUGGACUUACGUCAGACUCCAAGCAAACAAGAGGUUAACCGGACGCUGAGUCGUCAAAAGCAACAAAAAAGAAGUUGAACAAACAAGCUAACAAGGAGUCGGGUACUCGAGCCUGCUAGCUGUCAAGCAAAUACACACAAAAAAGGAAAAGGGUGCUCGGAGAGAUCUCGCACGAUCUCCUGCCUACGUACCUCAUCUGGUAUGAGGAUCAGGGCAACGUAGUUCCCCUUAAUAGGGGAGAAACUUUCUCCUAACCAGAGACUGGGAAAUGACAAACUAAAAGGGAGACUGACUCGAGCCUAAUAGUUAUCAUGCAAUCCACAAUGGUCCUAGGUUGAGGUAUCUAACAGAUCCUAACUCGCACAGGAAGCAAGUUGAAACCGCAAAUAAACAGCAAACAAGCAUUCACAAAAGAGCAAGCACACACACUAUAUGCAAACAAAUGGCUCAUACAAGGCUAGGCUGUAGAAACAAGCCAACUGGAAUGGGGUGUUGUUUGCUCUUAACCCUAACAUUGAGAGUUAGGGUGAAGCAGAUGAAAUGGGAAGUGAGGGUAAGACCUCACAGCUCUUAUCCCUGGCCUGGGAGAGCUUGAAUCAAAUAGAAAGUGUGGGAGUUCAGAAUGUAGGAACUCUUCUCCACAUGACUGACACAACAAGAUCUUGAGUUCUUAUUCAAAUUCCAUCAACACAUGGUGUGAGCAAAGUGAAUGACACAACUGAAUAGCAGGGGAUGGAUUGCACAUCCCUUUUAUCUGCCAAUUGCCUCUUAAGAGGACUUAACCUGCUUGGCACAAAAUUAAACAACCACAAACAUUGCCUCUUAAGGAGGGCUUCAGACAGGUGCCUGCCAAAGUAACAUGACAGGUCUUCCAGACUACAUGAAGAUCAAGGAAUUAUACCUAAGUGGUAUGCCAACCACCAGCAAAGCAAAUCAAAGUUCAAAUGAACUUAAAGCAACUUAGGUACCUGUGGAAACAUCUAAACCAAUCAGUACAAAAUCCAGACAAGCAAUCAACAGUUAAUAUCAAACAGACAACCCAAUAUGCAACACAUGAGCCAUAAACACAAGUGAUCCAUCAUCAAGGCCUACAAAACAGCAAAUGUUAGACAUCGAACAAUGAUGUUUACCGACACCAAAGAAAAUACUCGACCAGACAUUGACCAAUGACUGGGAAGGAAACUCGACGUUUACUGACAUCGACGAAGGAUGUUUAUAGACACCAAAGAAGGAUACUCGACCAGACAUUUACUGAUGACUGGGAAGAAACUCAAUGUUUACUGACAUCGAACAAUGAUGUUUACUGACACCAAAGAAAGGAGACAUUACGGGGAUCGACACGACACUUACCGGUAUCGCAGGGAUGACAUCUCCAUAUGUCAAAACUAGGCAGACGCUUGCUGGGGACUAACUGGGGAAUGCUGUUGAUCCAAAAUCACGAUGCUGAACUCCUCAGAGUAACACCUUCUAACUUCCAUCUCGCACGACAGAAAUUCUUCCUCCAAUAUCGCACUACUGGGGGGACAUUGUUGCUUUAACGUCAUGAUGCUAAACCCCUCAGAGUAACAUCUCCACCACCCGGCGAAAUCAAAUCUCAAACGGUAACUACGGCUUGAUCUGAUGCUUGCAAUGGUAAGGCUGAUCUUCCAACCAAAUAAACCGAUUCUCAAACGGUAACCACGGCUUGAGACUAGCUUAUGCUUGCAAUGAUGAUGCAUGAUUUUUUUCAGCGUAAUGCUCCAUAACUAUGGAAAUGCUACGCAAUUAGGUAUGCAAUAUGCUAUGCUUAUCUAAAUGAUGAAUGCAUAAAAAGUAUCCCCCUCAAGGGACUCUUCUGGGGAGCUCAAGGCACUCUGUUGAGGAACUCGCUAUCGCUCCAAUCUUCACCCUGCUGGGGAAUAUCACUGCUGUUGGGGAAAGGACCACCCUCACCCGGGAUAACCUCCUCUGCACCCGAUCCACUUGGGGACUUCGCUGGGGAAGAAACCACCAACGCGCUCUGCGGGGAAAACAACAAUCCUCGACAUGCUGGGGAACUAACAAGCUCCACCAUGCUAGGGGAAACAACAGCCUUCAGACUUGCUGCUGAGGAAAAAGCUACCAACGAACACCUCUGUUGGGGAAAUAACAACCUUCAGGUCUGGCUGCUGAGGAAACACCGAUCUCAAACCUGCUGGGGAGAUAACCAUCCCGACCCUGCUAGGGAAGACACAAAACUUGAAUCUGCUGGAGAGGUAACAAUCCCAACUCUGCUUGGGGAAAUAAGGAAAGUCUGGCACAGAACACCCGUCGACUCGUCGAACCAUGGUAUUCACCGUCUAACUCCGGUGUCAGCUUUCCACUUUUGAGAGCUCCCAGACUCGUCUGGACUUUUCUGAUUCAUCACCUUGUAUUCUCGACUCCUCCGUACUCGACGGAGAUCGAACUCCUUGGAUUUAUACAAACUUUCCAGUCCUCAGACUUUGAAGAGUCUUCUUGAUUAAUAUCCAGAUUCAUCACCUUGUAUUCUCGACUCCUCCGUACUCGACGGAGAUCGAACUCCUUGGAUUUAUACAAACUUUCCAGUCCUCAGACUUUGAAGAGUCUUCUUGAUUAAUAUCCAGGAUCGUCGUACGUCUUUCAUCGUCUUUUCACCGUUCUUCAAUCCCGUGUCCCUGAUUGGACUCCACGGGGAUCUUUUGUCAAAAGCUUUCACAUCACAACCUGCAAGUGAGUGAAAAUAUCUAACAGCACCUGCAAAAGACAUCGUUAGAUAAAAACGUGCCCCAGGCGUGCCAAGAUUUCAACACCUGGGUCACUCUACCUUCCGAAUAAGAUUUCAAGUUUUCAAUCUUAAAAACAUGCAUUGGAAGGGACCUGUAUGUCUUAAAAAGCAAAGAUUAUUUAUCAAAAAUAACUGGAUGUUUUUGCAAUCAAAGCGGUAAUGAAAACAAAAACAAAAUUAUUUGACUGAAUAUGCAUUUUAUUGAUUGAAAAGGCGUGGCUCAUAACUGAGCAAUACAAAGGAAGCAAUUCCUGAAAAGAGGUAAUUGCGCACAAAAGGAGUGGCUCAUAACUGAGCAAUACAAAGGAAGCAAUUCCUGAAAAGAGGUAAUUGCGCACAAAAGGAAAAUCUAUCCUAAUGGCAAUGUGAAAACCGUGAUCUCAUCGAGUUCCAACUCGGUUACACCCCAUAUGUCCUCAAGACUCUUCGUGCUUUCCGCCUUCUGAACAAGACAUUUUCGACUGAUCCCUGCCGGGGAUUAUCCAAGUCAUAUCCAAAGCACAAAUGAUCAUGCUAGACGCAGUUGCUCGUUUCAAUCCCUCUUUUGCCUGGACCUCCCUUUCGGGUAUUCGGUCCAUCGGGAUACCCUUUUUUGCCCAAGCCGCCUUUUCAGGUUUUCGACUUGCCGGGUGUACAGUUUCUCUUUUUAUCCCUAAUUUUUGCCCGAACCUUUUCACCAUUUUUCUUGGUUCGUCGGGAUGCCCAUUUUUGUCUGGACUAUUUUAUUCUUUUCGUCCAGCGGGUCUCUUUAUACGAAGUAUUUUUUAACUGCGUCCGCAUUCACAGGGGAUGGAAAAUCCUCACCAUCCAUGAUCGUCAACAACAAGGCUCCGCCAGAGAAAACCUUCUUGACCACGAAUGGACCUUCAUAAUUGGGUGUCCACUUGCCCCUUCGAUCGUUUUGAGGAGGAAGGAUCCUUUUCAGCACCAGAUCUCCUACGUGAUACACACGAGGUCGCACCUUUCGGUCAAAAGCACGCUUCAUCCGCUACUGCCCAUGACAAACGGUUGCCAGCCUUUUUUCCUCAAUCAGGCUCAACUCUUCGUACCGAGUCCUUACCCAUUCAGCCUCUUGCAAUUUCACGUCCAUCAGGACUCUCAAUGAAGGAAUCUGGACCUCAACCGGUAACACGGCUUCAAUUCCAUAUACAAGCGAGAAAGGCGUUGCCCCAGUAGAUGUACGCACCGAGGUUCGAUACACAUGCAAUGUAAAUGGCAACAUCUCGUGCCAAUCCUUAUAGGUCACCUUCAGCCACAUCGUUGGUGCAUUCAAAUGUUAGCCGGGCAGCAAAAGGAAUGUGGAAUCUUUUCGGUGUAACCAAAACAUCAUCAAUUCUGCUACCAUUCACAUUAACAGCCCCAUCAAACAUCAGAAUCCGUUCGGAUUCAGGGUCAGGCCCCUCCUCCGGGAUCGGUUCCUCACAACUUUCGAUUUUAAAACCUUGAUGUCCUCAUCAGGGAACUCAAACUUCCUCGGUUGAUAAUCCUCAAUGGGAUGCUGGGCGAGGUAAUCAGACAAUACACUCCCCUUGAUUGCUUUCUGAGAAGUAUACUGUAUAUCAUAUUCAGUCAAAAAUCGUUUACGACGUCGCAACCCGUCCGGUCAAUGCUGGCUUCUUCUGCUGGCUUCUCAAAUGCAUACCUGAUCAGAUCCAUCUUGGAAAUCCAUAAAGUGGUAUGAACCAGCAUACACUAUCUCAGUCGGCGAGCAGCCUAUGCCAAAGUACAACAAGUUUUCUCGAGCAGUGAAUGUAUUGUUUCACAGUCGGUAAACUUUUCAACCAGACUCGUCAUGCUGCCCUAGUACACACCCCAUAGACCCCUCGAGGGCCGUCGAGUAUAGGAUUAACGGUCGUCCCUCCACAGGAGGCAUCAGAAUCGGAGGCUCCUGCAAAUAUUCUUUAAUCUUUUCAAAUGCCGCUUGGCAAUCAUUAUUCCACCUGACCGUUUGAUCUUUUCUCAAUAACUUGAAUAUUGGUUCACACGUGGCUGUUAGAUGAGAUAUGAACCGUGAAAUAUAGUUCAAUCUACCUAAGAAACCACGAACCUCUUUCUCUGUUCUCGGUUCAGGCAUUUCUCUUAUUGCUUUUAACUACCUAAGAAACCACGAACCUCUUUCUCUGUUCUCGGUUCAGGCAUUUCUCUUAUUGCUUUUACUUUAGCAGGAUCAACCUCGAUUCCUCUUUCGCUUACUAUAAACCCCAGCAAUUUACCGGACCACACUCCGAAAGUGCGCUUAUUCUGAUUCAACCUCAGUUUAAAUUGUCUCAACUAGCCAAACAGCUUGGCCAGAUCUACCAGAUGCCCCUCUUCUGUUUGGGACUUUGCUAUCAUGUCAUCAACAUAGCAUUCGAUUUCAUGAUGAAUCAUAUCAUGAAACAAAGCCACCAUAACUCUCUGAUGCGUGGCACCGGCGUUCUUGAGACCGAAUGGCAUCACCUCUGCUCUUGACACUCGCCUCCAAGGUGGCCCCAACCUUUAUUUCCUUUCAGACCUCCUCGGUGCUUGGAUUGACAAUCUCAACUCGCUCCUCGUGCGGUUGAAUCACCUUCUCCUCUUGUCUCAACACUCUGGUUAAUUCCUCCGGCAGUUCACAAUCUUCUUCGCCUUCUUCUUCGGCAUGAUAGAUCGGAUUGUCGAAGCCAUAUGAGGGUGUAACAUGAUUGUUAUCAAUGAGAUCCGGAGAAUGCGAAAGUCGGAACGAAGCCAAUCAAAAGAAAGAAAAAUGAAAAUAACCAUUGCCAUUUUUAUUUUUGUUUUUAAACUGCAAAAAUAAGUGAAAAACAGGGAACACCGCUUUUAAUGUGAAAAACAUCCAUUUAUUAAUGAUGCAAAACAUUGCAAAAUGAUGCACAUGAGGUGGCCCUUACAAUGGACCAUUACGUUCGGGCAAAACGUAUGGCUUUCAUGCAGACAAAAUUGAAAACAGAAAUCAUACUCUUCCGCGCAGAGUGACAGGUGAUGAUCUUUUAGCCUUCCAGUUCUGGAUUCCAUCCCUGGUACGCACGGUUUUAUCCAACUAUCAAGCUGCCAGUCACUCGUCAGUCUCUUCACCUACCGCACAGGCGGUGAUCCGAAUCUUCAGCAAUUACACCCACCAUCACCUGACCAUGCGCCAACAUGGGAUUAGCAUUAACAUUCGGAGAUGGUGCAAAAUUGAUGGCCUUGGAGUCUACCAAGUCUUGGACAACAUGCUUAAAGGCUCUACAACCCUCGAUGUUAUGCCCUGGUGUACCAGAAUGAAAUUCACACUUGGCGUUCUCAUCAUAGUUAUGAGGCCUCUGAUCUGAUCUUACCGGAGCCAUCGUCCUCGGCUGAACCAACCCAAGAUCCAUCAACUUCUUAAACAGUAAAGCAUAUGUCACGGGUGGCCUAUCAAACUGACGAUCAGUCCCCUUUCCUCUCACUUGGUACCCAGCUCUCUGUGCUCUCUGUUGAGGUGGUUGAUGUUGCUGUUGUGCAGAUUGAUUACCAGUAGGAAUCGUUAUUGUAGCAGCAUACGGGUGGUAACGACCCCUACCGUGCCCCCCUUGGGCGGAUACACCACUUGAUUCAACCUCCUUCUUGCGCUGACCAUCACCAAAGGGCUUCCUUUCUUCAGACGACGGAGCGUUUCCCUGUACCUUCCCCAUUCUCAGCCAGUUUUCAAUUCUCUCCACCUUCUCAGCGAUAGCUUUCUGCCCCAAGGCGAACUCUUACAUGACACUGAUCAACUUACUCAUCUUCUCUUUCAGCUCGAGAAUGUUUGCGUUGGGUAGAUCCAUCAGUUUGGAUUUGUUGUGCCUGGUAGGGUAUCUGUGCGGACGAGCUACGUGCAAAGGAAUGAUUCGGUGUGCGCGAGCAAUGAUUCCUGAGUCAAUCAAACAUGUUAGGUACUGACACCUGCAAAACAGAAGACAGGUUAUUAUGACUCACGCAUGAAUGCAAUGUCUAUCCAUAUGAGGAACACCCUGUCCUUUGAUCCUGGUUUCAUUGAGACGGAUAAUAAUUUGACAACAAUAUUCUGACAUCAGGAUGUCUCUCAACCGGGAUCUCAAUCUAGAAUGUACCCUGAGUAUGGAUAGACAUGAGUUAGAUGCAAAAUGUGGAUGAUGUAGAUGCGUGAAUGCAAUGCACUGUGCCAUCCUCCAAGUCCUCUGAAAAUCAACUGCACUGAGUUCCGGUCUCUGAACUGAUCACAAUCAUCUGAGGGAACGAGUAACCACAAUUCCGACUUAGGGUUCCGAAAUAAACGGAACGGAAGGAUACAUCACCAUCAUCACCAGAAAGUCCUCUGAACAGGUAACCACAAGAUCCUCUGAACCAGCCCAGGUAAUCCUGAAAUAAACGGAUCCACACUGAUAAAUACCACGGACAGAACUCCGGCAUCUCAAAAAUAAAUAUCCAUAAAUCCGACUUAUAAAUAGGACUCUGAUUAAGAACUGAACCAUUAGUCACCAUCAAAGUCACCAUCAGAACAUGCAUCCGUAAGAAUCAACCCUCCCCUCACAGGUGAAUUCUAAUAAGGUCAUCCUAAGGCGGAUAAUGGUCUCGACAAUCGGGCAAAGAUACUCAACGGGUUUGCCCUUUCGGGUGUGCCGUUGCAGCUCUCUUAAGAUCAUCUAAACCAAAGAUCCGGGAAAGAACGGUCACCGAAGUCAAUAGCUCUAAAGAGAUAACUCAAGCAAAGUGGAAUACUCCACCCAAAAGAGCUCACUCAGAAGAACCUCGUCCGGCUUGUGGUAUGUCACGACGCAACAACAUGCUGAUCCAACAUGUGAGGAAACGUGAGACCACACAAAUCCUAGGUGUAUACUCGGGCCUGGGUUUUAGCCCCACUCAGAACACCCACCCCAGAUCAGAGGAACCAACCUGUACAGAAGACAACACAAUGAUAAUAUGAUGCAUGCAAACAUUUAUGCAAAUAUAUACACAACAUAAUAAUCAUAAGUGCAAUAAAUAGAGCAGUAAAAGCAACCAAAACUACCCUAGAGAGCGCUAGGAUUGACUCGCUUAGGGAAGAUGGAGCAGCAAGAGGUCAACUUCUUAAGUCCCCGGCAAAGUCGCCAGCUGUCGCAUCCGUGAAAAACAACCGGCGGGAAAAAACAAACAGACAGAGCCGCCACCGUGCGUUAUUUAUCCCAAAGGAGGGAAAGGAAACGCUCGAAGUAAACCUGGAAAGGAAAUGGUCUUACGACCGGAGAUUGCAAGGAUCGGGAGUCGGUUACGCGAGGGGAAGGUAUUAGCACCCCCUCAUGUCCGUCGUACUCGACGGGAUCCAUGCUCAAGAGAAUAGAAUAAGGUUGUUGAAUAACUGCUCAAAGAAUGCACACACACUGGAAUAAACAGGCGGGAGAGGAUGGAAGAAGAGGAAGGUGACUCGGCAAGAUGUCGCAUCCUAGGCCUACGUAGUUUGUCAGAAACAAACAUCAGAGUCGACGUAGUUUGGGGAAAAGGGGAACAGGCUCGCUAGGAUAUCGCAUCCUAUGCCUACGUAUCUCAUCUGGAAUGAGAAUCAGAGCUACCGUAGUUUGGCUCACGCACGCCGAAACAAAACACACGCAUAGACGCUGAGACGUCAAAAGCAAACACACAAAUGGAAACAGACUGCCAAUGGCUGGUCUUACGUCUGACUCCAAGCAACAAACACAAACGAGGAAACCGAAUGCCAAUCGUUGGACUUACAUCAGACUCCACACACAAACACAAACAGGAAACCAACUGCCAAUCGCUGGACUUACGUCAGACUCCACACAAACACAAACAGGAAACCGACUGCCAAUCGCUGGACUUACGUCAGACUCCACACAAACAAACACAGGAAACCGACUGCCAAUCGCUGGACUUACGUCAGACUCCAAGCAAACAAGAGGUUAACCGGACGCUGAGUCGUUCAAGCAACAAAAAGAAGUUAAACAAACAAGCUAACAAGAAGUCGGGUACUCGAGCCUGCUAGCUGUCAAGCAAACACACACAAAAAAGGAAAGGGUGCCCGGAGAGAUCUCGCACGAUCUCCUGCCUACGUACCUCAUCUGGUAUGAGGAUUAGGGCAACGUAGUUCCCCUAACAGGGGAGAAACUUUCUCCUAACCAGAGACUGGGAAAUGACAAACUAAAAGGGAGACUGACUCGAGCCUAAUAGUUAUCAUGCAAUCCACAAUGGUCCUAGGUUGAGGUAUCUAACAGAUCCUAACUCGCAUAGGCAGCAAGUUGAAACAGCAAAUAAACAGCAAACAAGCAUUCACAAAAGAGGCAAGCACACACACUAUAUGCAAACAAAUGGCUCAUACAGGGCUAGGCUGUAGAAACAAGCCAACUGGAAUGGGGUGUUGUUUGCUCUUAACCCUAACAUUGAGAGUUAGGGUGAAGCAGAUGAAAUGGGAAGUGAGGUAAGACCUCACAGCUCUUAUCCCUGGGCCUGGAGAGCUUGAAUCAUAGAAAGUGUGGGAGUUCAGAAUGUAGGAACUCUUCUCCACAUGAAUGACACACAAAGAUCUUGAGUUCUUAUUUCAAAUUGCAUCAACACAUGGUGUGAGCAAAGUGAAUGACACAACUGAAUAGCAGGGAUGGAUUGCACAUCCCUUUUAUCUGCCAAUUGUCUCUUAAGAGGACUUAACCUGCUUGGCACAUAAAUUAAACAACCACAACAUUGCCUCUUAAGGAGGGCUUCAGACAGGUGCCUUCCAAAGUAACACUGACAGGUCUUCCAGACUACAUGAAGAUCAAGGAAUUAUACCUAAGUGGUAUGCCAACCACCAGCAAGCAAAUCAAAGUUCAAAUGAACUUAAAGCAACUUAGGUACCUGUGGAACAUUUUCUUUAACAAUCAGUACAAAAUCCAGACAAGCAAUCAACAGUUAAUAUCAAACAGACAACCCAAUAUGCAACACAUGAGCCAUAAACACAAGUGAUCCAUCAUCAAGGCCUACAAAACAGCAAAUGUUAGCCAACAAUAACAAAUGAUCAAGCUCAAAUUAAGGAGCAACAUCAACCAUGGAGAUGUAUACUUGAACCUGAAAUUCUCAACUCAAAGGUAAGUAAGAAACCACUAGGUCAAAGACUAGGGUCAAAGGUGAAUCAAAAAUCCAAAACUGAAGCUCAAACUCAACAUGAAUCAUAUUUAAUCAAUCAAUAACAAGUCCUAAAAAGGACCAAACCAAAAUCAUCAUGCAAGUUCAUGUAAUAGGCAAGAGAAGUCAAUGUCCAAUUCAAGGCAUGCAUUUGAACAUUAAGAAUGAAAAUUCCCAAUCAAAACAGAAAUGAUUCAAAUAAUUCUAGAAAAAUUCAUGAGCAUUAUACACAUCCAACAUGAUCAUCACACAAAAAAUCAGAAGCAUUAUAGGUCAUUUGACAUGGAAAUCAAAUUGCACAAGUAUAACAACCAAAUGUGUGACAUAAAUUGUCACACCAUGCAAACACAAGCAUAAAACAGAAUUGUUACAUGAUAAAAAUACCAAACCAAGCCUAAAACAUCCAUUAACAUGUCUAGAAUUAGCAUGUAAAAUUUCAUGUCCAUUGGAUUAAAAACAAGCAUUUCAUGAUAGAAAGAGUAAGGCAAUGUCACAAAUGCACCUAUGAGCAAUCAACCUAGAGCAAAUAAAAUUCCAGCCAUGCACAACUUAUGAAAUGGAGCGCGCACUUACUACAAAAUGACAGCGUUUCAAUAUGAACCCUAAGCUGCAGAUUUGGACGGUUCAAACCGCCGCUAUUUGCAAAGAAUCGACGCAAUUUUUCCAGAAUUCAUCGUUAUGCAUGCAUCUUCAUCUUCUUCAUGAUGCAGACGAUGAAUGUUCAUCCUCAAAUUUCCAGAAAUUCCAUAUUUCACCAGAAUUCAAAAACAAAUACAUUAUCAUGCAGUAUUUUCAAUGGUGAGCAUAGAUCAACUAACAUCUAAACACAAAUCAUCAAGAACAAAGAGAAUCGAGCAAAAUCAUUUUUGGAUGCAAAACUUUAAACACACAUAACUUGCUCAAUAAUGCACCAAUAUAACAUCUAAACACAAAUCAUCAAGAACAAAGAGAAUCGAGCAAAAUCAUUUUUGGAUGCAAAACUUUAAACACACAUAACUUGCUCAAUAAUGCACCAAUUCACACGAUUUUUAGAUCAGAAUCACUAGGAGAACAAGAUCUACCAGAAUAUACUCAUGAAUUGCAAGAUUAAGAGGAUCGAAAAUUAACCUCUUGAAGAGCAGAACCUUUGAACUGCAAGAUCCACAGCUUGUAUUGAUCCAAAUUCACUCCACAAUGCUUGUAAUGAUGUUUGAUGAAGAAAAGGAAGCUUGAACACGUGUAGAUCUAGCUUAAACUUGAAUUUCCAUUUUCAACUUCAUGAGCUUCAACCACUCGAAUCUUGCACGAAUUCCACGAACCAACACUUGAUUCACACUAUAAUCAACUCACUAAUCAUGAAUAUCCAACAAAAAAAAGUGCUAUGUUCAAGAAAUUUGAAUUUUGGUUUGAAGAAUGUUUUGGAGGGAGAGAGAAUUUUGGAUCUAGAAAUAUGAAUUGUGAUUAACCUCCCUCAAUUCUGUUAUGAUUAGAGUAUAUAUAUGCUCUACUAAUCAACUUGCUAAUCCAUAAUUAACUUGGCUAAUGAAAAUAAGGUGUUUUGCAAAAAAUCAAAAUUUGCAUGGUGCAUGUACCAAUUACACGUGAACAGUACCCUUGGAUUGAUCAUUUUCACUUAAAAUCCUUUUUUAAACUCAAUGGCAAUGGUAGAAAGUCCAUACAAUGCACCAUUUUUUAAUUUUGCAAUUUCCCUCCAAAAAAGGCAUGGAUAUGUAAGGGAUUAUGUGAUGAGAUUUUAUGUAAUGUGAUGCAUGAUUUGGAAAUUAGAGGUCAAGAGAAGAAUAUUGCAAAAAGAACCACUCAAUUUGAAGGAAACCUAGUUUUCAAUACGAGUAAACUUCAAGGAUGUAUACUUGGCAAUGAUUUGACCAUAUCUCUUCAACCAUUCAUCAUAAAUUCAUGAUCUUGGACUUUUUGGAAAUGGGAGAAAGAGAUCUUAAACUUUCAUGUUGGACAAAAAUUCAUUUGAAGCUUAUUUGAUGAUGUAAGAUCAAGUUGAAUUUGAACCAAAAACUUUCCACUUUUGGAAAGUUGAAAUUACAGGUCAUUUUCAAUUUUUGGAAACUUUUGAUCUGACCUCAAAUUCUUCAAGAUAAGCAUUUGACAUGAUUAAUAAGCCUCUUUUAAACAUGAAUGAGAUGUUGAAACUCAUUUCUGCACCUCCUAGCCCUCACUUGACUUUCUGUUGACUUUCUGGUUGACAGAUGACUUGAACAUGCAAUAUGCUAAGCUAGUCCCAAGAGAAAGACUUAGGAGGAUGACUUGUCUAUUUUCACAUGAUAUGCAAUAUGCAAAUGCCUAAUGCCCUAAAAAAAUGAAAUGCAAUAUGCUAAGCUAGUCCCAAGAGAGGAGGGCAAAUUUUGAGGUGUUACAGCCCUCAAUUCUAAAACUAGAAUUGAGAUGAUUGAAUAGAUAUCACCUGUUGAACUUAACCGUUUAUACAAGGAUUGCAAAGCAAAUAUACAAUCGAAUUCUCAAGACGUUGAAUGUUGCUUCCACUCCUUGUUCCUUGAUUCAAGGUGAAUCAAGUUCUUCGAUUGUUGUUGAUAGACCUCCGAUUCCAGCCCCUUUGUUGAACAACCCUCUGUUCUUCAAACCCUCGAACCGGCUAAUCUCAACUACAACAAAUCGAACCCGAAUUCUUCCCUUCAAUAUCAUUGAAUCCGCUACUAGAUUGACGAAGACUUCCUCUUCUCAAUCACCUUCGCUCAGCUGAAAAUUGGUGAAUAAAUUCGUCCAAAAACCCCCAAACUCAAACCAGUCUUGGAGGACAAAACCCUAAAGGUUUUAUUCAAGAAAAAACCUGCCACAAGCUUCAACCCGAACCGGAUUCCCCAAUCACGGCUUCGAACCUUAUCACCUUUGACCAAUCACAAAGCACUUCAAAAAUGGUUGUGUGUAGUUGAUGUGUUGUGAGAUGUUGAAGAUGAAGAUGAUGAAUCUUGGACACCUAUUUCACUUUUUCUUGUUUCUUUGAACACUUGAAUCAAUUAUUGAUGUGUUGUGAGAUGUUGAAGAUGAAGAUGAUGAAUCUUGGACACCUAUUUCACUUUUUCUUGUUUCUUUGAACACUUGAAUCAAUUUGACAAAUGUUAGUUGAUAAAAGUAAUUUGACUUCUACUUAUAGUAACCAACUUAGCAACCAAAAAUAACAGCUUUUCAAACAGUGGAAAAUACUCAAAAAACUGAGUUUACGCACGAGCGGUCGACCAUAGGUCGGCGUGCGCUGACCCGUGGGAAAUGCGUCGACCCCUAUGGUCGACUCAAGUAUUCCAUGCGCUGAUCUGUGGCCAACUGCACUAUGCCAUGCGCCGACCUGUGGUCGACUCAAGCAACCAUGCGCUGACCAGUCACCAACUGGUCUGAGUUAUGCGCUGACCCUUGCGGUUGACUCAAAGCCUGCAAACCUGCAAAAAUUCGUAUUUUUGUGGUUUUCAUGCAUUUCGUCAUGAUCACAUUUUAUCCAUAUAUGUUUUAUGAAAUAUAGCAGUUUUAGAUAGGCAUAGGGAAGGAUAUGAUAGAUAAUAUGUUGCAUUUGUUUGUAGACAUGGAAUCGACAAUGCCGAUUCAUCUAUGAUGGCCAUUUGUCAUCAUCGAAACUUAUGAUUGUAUGUUGUCUGACAAUUUGCCCUUACAGAUUGGUCAUCAUUUUAUACCUAGUAUUCGGUAUCCCGAUGUCCUUUCCUUUCGGUCGAUUUAUCCUUUAUUAACCCAGUAAUCAAUCGUGGAUAAUCUUCCAUGUGAGUAUAUUAUCUAUGUUCUGACGGUAAUAGAUAAUACAUCUCAUGCGCUCUUUGGUCGAAGUCUUUUGUUCUUCCCUAGUCGAGUAAGAUUCCUAUCCCUUUUGGCGGAGUCGAAUGUCCAUCCUGUAAAUUGAGUUUGCUUUUUAGCCCUCAUUUUGGAUAAUGAGUGUCUUGGAAAUAUUCCUCAAUUCACGCUUGGUUGGUCACCUAUUAUAUGCCCACUAACCGGUAUCCCUGGUGUUCCUUCCCUUUCUGCUCCCUAUUAUGACUUUUGGUCCCUUGUGGAGUCAGAUUUCCUGAGUUGAAACAUACCUUUUUAUGUUUUCCUCAGAUGAUUUUGGACGUUUGAUAUCUCUCACCCUCAUACCGGUCUUAGAUAUUCAUUCUCCCCGAGCAUGUUAUUCUCUCACCCUUAUACCGGUGCUUCGAUCACAUGUCUCCUUGAGCCUAUUACCCAGUAACCGGUAAUACCUCAUCCUGUUGUUUCCUCAGAUAAGUCAUGUUUGGACAUUUCCCACUGAACUCCCUUAUUGGAUUUUCCCCAUCUGAGUCCGGAUUUUCAUCCGAAGUAUCCUUUGUGGAUAGUUUUGUUGUUUGGCAUAUUCCUCAAUACAUGCAUCUUUGAGUCAGCUCGAGUCUUUCCAUUGAUUUAUUUUCAUGGAUUUCCCCUCGUGUCUCUCAGCAAGUCUUAAGUCGUGACCUGCUCAUGAAUUUUAUUCCCUUUCGUAUCCCCAUUAGAGUCCCCAGAGUCUCUGUCCCAUUGAGUAUAUUACUCAUAUGGAUUAUCAGUUUCUCCUGAUUUCUUUUCUCUUUGUGGACACAUAUCUCCAUGGAGUAUUACCUUUUGCAUACAUACAUUUGCAUCAUGAGGUCUCUUAGGGACCAAAAUUUGUAUCUUUGUUAUUAUUUAAGCCCAUUAUACCUCGUCGGGAUGAAGAUUUUAACCUUCACUUCUCUGGCUAGAAUGACCUUAAAUAGGGGCAUCUGUAAGACCCCAAUUUUGACCCUAAGAUCCCUCAUGGCAUCAUAACAUUGCAUUUUGCAUUGCCUCAAGGAUCAUGGCAUCUUGGCUCCUUACCUUUGGGUGGGAUCUCUUGAGAGUUGGUUUGAGAUCGCCAAGCAUGCUUGAAUUGUAUAUUAUUGCUUUUCUCAUUUUAUUUACUAACCAAAAGCACAAAAAUAUGUCACUAACAUCUUUUGUUUGUAGCUUGAGCAGUCACAAGAUCCAAAGUUUCUAAGAGAUCCUAUGUGCAUUGAUAGGGCCAAUUGAAGAUGAAAGCAAGCAUGGAAAUGGUUCCCAAAGCUCUCAUCCAUCAAAUAUGCCUCCCAAGUAUCUCAACUCAUCAUUUUGAUCAAAGAAAACCAAAGGGUUUGAGGCUUGUUUCCCAAGGAUAUCCUAAUUCAUCUGCUCAUCAAUCGUGCCUUGCUCAUGAAGCAACCUCAACCCAUGGUCAAAUACAAUCAAGGGAAGUUCUUUAAUUCAUUAUUUCAUGCAUAUUUGAACUUAUUUUAGUGUCCCCAAUCAUCAAUUCAUCAAGAUGUGAGGCAUGGACUUGAGAAGUUGAUCAGUCAAUUCUUCUGACUAUUUUGAAAUACACUGAGAUCUAACUUUUGAUGUGUUUGUCAAAUGGAGAUGACCCCAAGAGUAAAAUGUUCUUAAGAACCAUAUGAACAACUUUCAUGUUCCUGAAAAAUUGAUUUGAAGCUUAGAAGGUCAUAAUCCAUUCCCAAACAUUAUAGGUCAUUUUGACUGAAACCCUAAUUUUGGGUCAACUUCCCAAGGACAUAACGCAUUCAUUUUUCAUGACUUUAAGGUGGGAUCAAAUGCAUUAGAAAGAUUAAGAUGUCUACUUCAAAUGUUAUGUUGAGAAAAAUUUCAAAAUCCUAAAAGAAAUACAUGUGAUAAUGAAAAACAUUAUAGGUCAAUUUGGACCAAAUGCAUUGAAAUGUGAAAAAGUCCAACUUCAAGUACCCAUAACUUCUUCAUAAAAUUCCAAAUGAUGCAACAUUUAAGUCCAAAUUGAUUGUAUUGAAAAGAUAUAUAACUUUGAUGUUGAAGAUUUUGUCAUUUGGAGCUUUCAUCAUUGAAACAGAACGACUUGAACUUUGGCCAUUUUUGAGAUUCUCACAUGUGCAUGUUUUGCACCCUACACUUCAUGACCACUUUUCAUCAAUUUCCAAGUUUCAAAUGGAGUUUUGAUAAACAUAAAAAAUUUUCCUCAUGCAAAAAGUUUUCCAACCAUUACUCAUGAGGUGGUGUUUCAAGUUUGGACAUGGCAUUUUCGAAGACAUGAACAUAUUGGUAUCAUUUUGGAAAAUCAAUUAAUUUGCAUUGCAUGAGCUAAUCUUGUACCAUUUGCACGCCCAAUUUGCUUUUAUCAUUGUUUAGCUGCCAAAUCCAAGUGGAAUUGGGCCCUCCAUGCGCCUGUACAGGCCCAUGCAUGGAGGCCCUUUCCAUUCAUGCAAGCAUUUUGAUCAUGCAUUUCAGCUUGCUUCUCCUAUAAAUACAAUGCCAUGGCCUCUCAUUUUGGCAACCUGAAGGCGCCCUAAAUGUUGUGCAAUUGAAUCCUCACCCUCACUACCAAAGGAACUCACCAAUUUUCUCUCAAUUUUUCAGAUCUAGAAUUCAAUUUCAUUGAUUGUUUUCUGGAUCUAAAGUUCCUUAGCCUUCUUCACUCACCAAUUUUCUCUCAAUUUUUCAGAUCUAGAAUUCAAUUUCAUUGAUUGUUUUCUGGAUCUAAAGUUCCUUAGCCUUCUUCCCUUUGAUCUAAAGAACAAACUGCAAGCAUCCAUAGCAAGAAACUGUGCCCUCAAACUAUACAAAUCAGAGGUUCACGUCACAUUUUAAUUUCUUCGAAUCUGCUCAUAUACUGGUUGUUUCUUGUUGUUGUUGUGUGAUCUAAAGUCCUCUGCAUACAUGCAACAUACUUGAGCUUCGAAUUUUCAAAAUCUAGCAAGUUCAGUUGAACACCACAGAAAUUACAUCUCUGAUUUCUCUUAAUGUAGAAACCUAAAGUGGAUUUGGUUGGUACAGGGGUGAUGUACAUCACCCCAGCUUUCGAUUGGUACCUAGAUCGUGGCAUUUGGUGCAUGUUUGUUUCUCUGUAAUUUUGAGCCUCGUCGGAAGCUGGCCGGAGAAGACGGUGGCGCUGGUCACCAUCUGAUCUCCAGAUUAAAUCUGAGCCUUCCAUUUCAUUUUCCAGAUUUAAUCUCAUACGUUCAUUGUUAUGACUUAUUUUAAGGCCAUGUGCGUUUCAGUUGACUAGAGUGCAUGGUGAGCGUGCGCUUCCUGGCCACGUGAUGAUCCAGCUCAAUUAAUGAGGUCUCAUCAGACGGUCCACGCUUUUUCAUCUUUUUUUAUUUCUGAUUAUAUUUUCUUUUAUUUCUUUUAAUUCUAUUUCAUUUUAAAAAUCCAUAUCUCCUUCAUUAUUGGUCCAAAUAAUAUGAGACCAAUCGCAUUUUUCUUCUUUUAAUUUCUAGUUUCUAAAAAUGAUUUUUAAUAUUUUUUAUUUUGUCAUUUGAUAUUUUUUAGGAAUUUUCUCUUUUCUGGUUAUUUUUAAUUCAUUUUAAAUAGUUUUUGAUAUUCAAAAAAUACAAAAAUAUUUUUUCAACCUCUUGAAUGAUGAUAGAUCUAUGAAAAAUAUUCUCAUCAAUUUAUUAAUUGAUUUGAGAUUUAUUUGAGAUUUUAAUUCAAUUAGGUUAUUUUUUAUGCAUUUUAAUUGAUUAAAAAUAGUUUCUGACUAAGAUCUAUGAAAAAUAUUCUCAUCAAUUUAUUAAUUGAUUUGAGAUUUAUUUGAGAUUUUAAUUCAAUUAGGUUAUUUUUUAUGCAUUUUAAUUGAUUAAAAAUAGUUUCUGACUUCUAAAAAUGCUAGAAAUUUUUUGUCAAACUUUGUUUGACCUUGUUGAACUUGGGAUAAUUCACUUGGACUUUUCAACGCUGAUUUGAAGUGAAUUUGAAGUUUGACCUUUCUUUCUUAUUUUAAUUCAAGUUUUAUUUUAAUAUUGAAAAAUACCAAAAAUAUUUUAUUUGUUUCUUGACUUCUAAUCUUCAUCUUACUUCUGUUUACCAUUGUUUGACCUUGACCUUCUCUAUAUUUGGUCAAUGCUUAUUGAUUAUUUCUUUCCAUUUCCAUUAAUGCACUUUAAUAUUCAUCAUCUUCUUCUUCUUUUUCUUUUUUUGAUCAAUGAGUUAAAGAUUGGUGGUUAGCCUUGAUACAUGGGAGGUUUAACCUUCCUUGAUUCAAAUCUAAUUCAUCUUGAUCAUGGAUCAAAUGAAUGACUUUGCAUUAAGGAUAGGUUGCUUCCUAAUCAAGCAAAGAACCUAAAUCAAUACAAGAUCAUUUCUCAUCUUCUUUUUGGCAUGGCAAGUUGUAGGAGUUUGAUUCACUAAUCAAAAUCUCUAACUUGUGUUGUUGCCUACAUUANCUAACUUGUGUUUGUUGCCUACAGGAUUAUUUACCCGGUCUCAGAUAGUUGUGACUUCUACAUAGUCCAAUUGCGGAUUUGCUUAACAUAGCGCUAAUGCCUUAUGGCCACAAACUCUAACACUAACCAUUAACAUUAACAUUUAAUCUUGCACUUUACAUUUAUGCAAUUUACUAUUCUUGUAUAUAUUAUUCAUUUGCUUUUGCCCUUUGCUCAUUUGAGCACAUGUUUAUGUUAAUGCAAUUUGCCUUUUGCUCACUUUUAGUAUAUUGUGUAUUAUUAAUGUGCAUGUGUUUUGUUUUGAUUUGUUGUGGACCAAAUGCAAAAAAAUGGACAAAACGGACUUAGUUUCUAGGACAUUACCUAUGAAAUUGGAGUAAAAAAGGCCUUAAUGUUGAAGAUGGAUUAGAAGACCAAACCUCUAAAACUCACUCUUGUCCAUUCUUGAUUUACUUCAUGAACUUUGUAUGUGUGUGCUUUUGGGAUAGGAAUCCUAUUUGAGCAAAAUUGAAGAACCAUUGCCAUGUUCAUCCAAAGUGAAAGAUACAAGAGCCAUUGGGGAUCUUCUAAGAGCUUGUUUGAUUAUCUUGAUGCUUGAGAUUACACUUAUUGCUUGCUUAUUCCACAGGAUGGGAGCUAGUUGGAUCAUCAAUAUGAUCUCAAGAGAGGAACUCCAUUGUGGUCUUGUCUCUUAUCCUUCAUCUCUUGUUAUGACUAGACUUAGCCAUUCGUCUUCUUCCCUCCACUCUAACCCAAGCCAAAAAUUUUGCAAACAUUUAACACUUGUUUCAAACAUUUGAAACCUAAGCCUUUAUGGCUUUUGAUUUUCAAACUUUCUUUUAUAACACAUUAUUUGAAUGGAAUCUUUAAGUCCACUUUGACCAUAUUUUGUAAUACUUUCAUUGGUAAAUAUAACUCAUUCAAAUUACUUUUUGUGGUUUCAAUGGCCCCUUCUUAUAAAAAACUUUCAUAACCUUUAGCUAUUAGUUUGAGUUAUCCUUGAGGUAGAUAUAAAGUCACCUAUAUCCUUAGUGAUGGACAAUGAGUCUCCAUGCUUAUUAUAGGGUUAACCCAUCACUAGCAUGUUGAAGUUAUCCCACAUGUGGAUUUGUGGUUUUAGGUUGAGUUUUCUCCCUUGGAUAACAAAAGACCUUAAGGUUUUUGGACCAAUCAAUUCACCAACUUGUUUUGAGAUUUUUACCCCGAACUACGAGGUUUUGAUCCUAAUCUUUUUUAAGAUGGUACGUAGGCAAUGGGUUUAUCCAUCCAAACACAAUUGUAAAUAACUUGUAUAUUCUUCUUUCAUCCUCUCAAUCAUGUUUGCACAAACAUUUUUUCACAAAAUACCAACCUUACAACAAGUGUGAAAGGGCUCCCUAGGGGUUCCUAGGAUGUUUUGGUGCUUAAAACCUCCCCAUUGCAUAACCAACCCCUUACCCGAUCUCUGACAUUUUACUAGUUUUUGAUUCGAUAAAACUUUUAGGUUUUUGUUCGCUUUCUAAACCAUUCCUUUGGAUAAAUAGAAUGCGGUGGCGACUCGACUUGUAUGGUUUACUUGGAUUUAGCCAAUAUGUCUAAUGGUAACGAAUACCCCGCUACAUUGUGUUUCUCUCAUUUUCCUCCCCCUUCAUCUUCAUCCAUAUUAUUUCCCAUUUCUUUCAUCGACGAAUGAAGUCUCAAUAUCCUAAGGCUAAUUGGUUCAUCAUUGACCUUGUGUCAAUGAACAAUACAAGUAUGGAUGAGAAGGUCCAUCCCUUUGGAUAUUUCUUUUAGUGUGUGGUAUGUUGUAGGAGUUUGGUUUAUACCAAAUCUCUAACAUGCAUUAACACCUAAAUUUCUAUUGCUCGGCAUCAGAUAGUUGUGACUUCUACAUAAGUCCAAUUACGAUAUCUUAACAUAGAGCUAGACCCUAAAGCAUAGCAUAUCUGUAAGUGAGAUUGUAGAUCUCCCAUCUUUCACGGUAUUGUAUGGAAACUUGGCCUUUUUCCUCCCUAUAGAAGAUGUCUUGGUUCAAGGAUUCAUGCUUGUGAAUAGAUGGUUGAGUGUUCUUCCAAAGAAUUACUUAAUCAAUUAAAAAGUAAAACGUCUAACAUUCAUUCAACUUUGACUAACAUUUGAAUAAUUCUUGUUAUAUUGCUUUACUUUUAAGUCAUUAACUUUUCAGCAAUUUAAAUUUCAGCCAUUUAUCAUUCAUUUACAUUUACAUUUUAUUUAACUUGUUUAUGUUUAUGCCAUUUUCACUUGCUCAUUUGAGCCAUACUGUGAUUUAUAUAUUGGUUUGUGUAUUUUGAUUGUGCUUGUGUCUUAGGACCUUAAAAACUUAAUAAAUAACAAAACCCUAAAAAAUUUUGGUGGACUGUUGAUCUUGAUAUGAACUUUUGGACUUAGAACUAGGCAAACUUCCCUAUGCAAAAAAGACUUGGCCAAUUCCAACAUUUUUGAAAUCAAGUUAUUAAGAACUGAGCCUUCAUCUGAUGCAAGUCUUGAAGAUUUAUUUUGAACUCAUCUACUACAUUGUCUUGAUGCAAACAUUUAUUUUGAUCUGGUGCUGAUGCUUUCUUCUGAGUUGACCAAGGAGUAUGUCAUCUGAUAAGCAUGAGAAAUAAAGAAGACUGCUAGCUAUUGGAUUUCUUGCUUGGAUGUGACUAUAUUUAUUUGAUGCCUUGAUCUUCAUGAUGUUUGAUAUUGCUAAUUGCUUGAUUUAUUAUUGCUUGAUUCAAAGUCCAAAGGGAAAUGGGUUUUCUAUAUGACAUUCUGUCUAUUGGAUUACAUCCAUUGGUCAGAUCUUUUCAACUCUUAACUUUUAAUUUUAUGCUUAGGAUUAGUCUCUUCAUCUCUCCCCAUUUCUUAAAUUUCAAAAUCUUUUCAAAACUUUCUUUGCUUGUGUUUUCAAACUUAAACUUUGUUUUAAAUGGUUAGAAACUUUGGCCUUAUUGCAAUGAACUUUCAAACCUUUUUCUUAAAUCAAAUUUGUAAAUGAACUUAACCAUAUUGACUUAAAUUUAAAAAGACAAAAAGAACAUUCACUUUGUCAAAUUUUGGCCCCUUUGUGCCCUUUUUAAUUAAAUUUUGUUAAAAGCAAUUCACUCAUUUUGAAAUUGAUACACGAACUAUGAGGUUUUGAUCCCUCAUUUUUAUGUUGGCACGUAGGCACAAGUCUGAAGGUCUUGUCAAACACAAAAAUAUAAUCAAUGAAUUUUUCUCAUCCCCACAUUCUAUUUUUCUCAAACAUCAUUUUUACCAAAAACAAAUACACACAUAAAAGAGGGCUCCUAGGAGUACCUAUGACACUUGGAUGCUAACACCUUCCCUCUAUGUCAACCAACUCCCUACUGUAAUCUCUAGCAUUUUAUUAGUUUUGAUUUGGAAAACUUCUUUCUUUGGGUUUUGUUCGUACUUUUCCCUUUUCUUUGGAAACAAUCAAAGCGCGGUGGCGACUCUGGUUUAUUAACGUCAAGUUUACCCAUAGCUUGAUGGUCAUGAAUUUACCACUACAGUUUCCACAUAAUGCCAUGAAGAAUGGGAGACUUACAAUCUCACUUACAGAAUGAUAUGCCAUGAGGACAAAUUUAGCUCUAUGUUAAACAAUCGUAAAUUUGGCUUAUGUAGAAGUCACAACUAUACUGGAGUCGGGCAAUAAAAAUAUAGGGUUAAUGCAUGUUUAAGAUUUGGUACAAAAAACCAAACUCCUAAAACAUACCACACACUAAAAAUGGGAAAGACCUAUCUCAGUCAGACUUGUGUUGAUUCAUCUGACACAAGGUCAUUGAUGACUAACUAGCAUUUAGACAUUAGGGAAAUCAUUGGUCAAAUGAAGGAUUGGGAAAGAAUAUGGAUGAAGAUGAAGAGGGAAGGGGAAUAAAAACACAAAUUGAUCAUGAGAGGAAUUUCAUCUGAUCAAUACCAUCAUUCAUUUUGGGAGAUGAAAUGUACAUUUUCAUCAAUCCCCAUAUAAAUCCAAUGUAUGAUUAAACAAAAUCAAAUCAACAUGACAAGGCCAAACAGAAGUCAAACAUCACAAGACCAUAAAUAUGGCUCAACAUAAUUUUAAACAUUUAGUCAAUUAAAAUUCAAUUAAAAAAUGAAUUAAAAGUGCAUUUUAAUAUGACAAAACAUCAAAUCCCUUCAAACACCCAAAUAAUGGCAAGGGCAUUUAUCCUAGUCAAACAAGGUCAAAGGACCUAACACAAAAAAUUUCAAGUUUUUUUGGAAAGUUGUAAGUAUUUUAAAAUAAUAAAAAUAUGCACAAAAAUCUAAUUCAUGAAAAAUAUCAAAAUUAAUCCAAAAAAUAAUUUAACUCAAAAUAUGAAAGAGACAAAUAUUUAAUAUUUUGGUGAAAGUCCCUAUUUUUGGAUUAAAAAUGAAAUUUCUAUGAAUAAAACAAAAAUAAGAGGAUUAAAUGAAAAAUAAAAAAUAAAAUAAAAUUAAAAAAACAAGGGCAUCAGAUCUCCCUCAUUAAUUGAAGUGGCAGAUCUGAUGGCCAAGCUUGCGUUCACACCAUGCACCCCAAUCAACGCGUUAUAGGGAAAGUAAUCAAAGGAGCAGUCAAGAUUAAACAGUUUAAAUAGAUCAAGUGGCCAGGAAGACCCGCCAACUGCAUCACCGGAGCCCUAGCUCCGGUUGUCUUCUCCGGUGGACUCACCAGGACUAGCUCCCCAACCACCAUUAAAUAAAAAGUGAGUACACUAUGGUUAAAAGAAAAAUUCUCAGGAGCUUGAAUAUGGCCUCAAUUUCAUCUAAUUCCAAGUAUAUUGAAAGAUACGUGAUUUGAAGUUUGAAGUGUGCAUGAUCUGAGUUGACUCUUCUUUUUUCUCAUUUGAGCACAUGUUUAUGUUAAUGCAAUUUGCCUUUUGCUCACUUGAGCAUAUAAUUGUGUAUAUAUUAUUGUGCUUGUGUUUUGUUUUGAUUGUUGUGGACCAAAUGCAAAAAAUGGACAAACGGACUUAGUUUCUAGGACAUUACCUAUGAAAAUUGGAGUAAAAAGGCCUUAAUGUUGAAGAUGGAUUAGAAGGACCAAACCUCUAAAACUCACUCUUGUCCAUUCUUGAUUUACUUCAUGGAACUUUUUGAUGUGUGUGCUUUUGGGAUAGGGAAUCCUAUUUGAGCAAAAUUGAAGAACCAUUGCCAUGUUCAUCCAAAGUGAAAGAUACAAGAGCCAUUGGGGAUCUUCUAAGAGCUUGUUUGAUUAUCUUGAUUGCUUGAGAUUACACUUAUUUGCUUGCUUAUUCCACAGGAUGGGAGCUAGUUGGAUCAUCAAUAUGAUCUCAAGAGAGGAACUCCAUUUGUGGUCUUGUCUCUUAUCCUUCAUCUCUUGUAUGACUAGGACUUUAGCCAUUCGUCUUCUUCCCUCCACUCUAACCCAAGCCAAAACUUUUGUGCAAACAUUUAACACUUGUUUUCAAACAUUUGAAACCUAAGCCUUAUGCUUUUGAUUUUCAAACUUUCUUUUCAUAACACUUAUUUUGAAUGGAAUCUUUAAGUCCACUUUGACCAUAUUUUGUAAAUACUUUUCAUUGGUAAAUAUAACUCAUUCAAAUACUUUUUUGUGGUUUCAAUGGCCCCUUCUUAUAAAAAACUUUUCAUAACCUUUAGCUAUUAGGUUUGAGUUAUCCUUGAGGUAGAUAUAAAAGUCACCUAUAUCCUUAGUGAUGGACAAUGAGUCUUCCAUGCUUAUUAUAGGGUUAACCCAUCACUAGCAUGUUGAAGUUAUCCUCACAUGGUGGAUUUGUGGUUUUAGGUUGAGUUUUCUCCCUUGGAUAACAAAAGACCUUAAGGUUUUUGGACCAAUCAAUUCACCAACUUGUUUUGAGAUUUUUACCCCGAACUACGAGGUUUUGAUCCUAAUCUUUUUUAAGAUGGUACGUAGGCAAUGGGUUUAUCCAUCCAAACACAAUUGUAAAUAACUUGUAUAUUCUUCUUUCAUCCUCUCAAUCAUGUUGCACAAACAUUUUUUCACAAAAUACCAACCUUACAACAAGUGUGAAAGGGCUCCCUAGGGGUUCCUAGGAUGUUUUGGUGCUUAAAACCUCCCCAUUGCAUAACCAACCCCUUACCCGAUCUCUGACAUUUUACUAGUUUUUGAUUCGAUAAAACUUUUAGGUUUUUGUUCGCUUUCUAAACCAUUCCUUUGGAUAAAUAGAAUGCGGUGGCGACUCGACUUGUAUGGUUUACUUGGAUUUAGCCAAUAUGUCUAAUGGUAACGAAUACCCCGCUACAUUGUGUUUCUCUCAUUUUCCUCCCCCUUCAUCUUCAUCCAUAUUAUUUCCCAUUUCUUUCAUCGACGAAUGAAGUCUCAAUAUCCUAAGGCUAAUUGGUUCAUCAUUGACCUUGUGUCAAUGAACAAUACAAGUAUGGAUGAGAAGGUCCAUUCCCUUGGAUAUUUUUCUUUUAGUGUGUGGUAUGUUGUAGGAGUUUGGUUCAUUAUACCAAAUCUCUAACAUGCAUUAACACCUAAAUUUCUAUUGCUCGGCAUCAGAUAGUUGUGACUUCUACAUAAGUCCAAUUACGAUAUCUUAACAUAGAGCUAGACCCUAAAGGCAUAGCAUUCUAGUAAGUGAGAUUGUAGAUCUCCCAUCUUUCACGGUAUUGUAUGGAAACUUGGCCUUUUUUCCUCCCUAUAGAAGAUGUCUUGGUUCAAGGAUUCAUGCUUGUGAAUAGAUGGUUGAGUGUUCUCCAAAGAAUUACUUAAUCAAUUAAAAAGUAAAACGUCACUAACAUUCAUUCAACUUUGACUAACAUUUGAAUAAUUCUUGUUAAUAUUGCUUUACUUUUAAGUCAUUAACUUUAUGCAAUUUAAAUUUCAGCCAUUUAUCAUUCAUUUACAUUUACAUUUUAUUUAACUUGUUUAUGUUUAUGCCAUUUUCACUUUGCUCAUUUGAGCCAUAUCUUGUGAUUGUAUAUAUUGGUUUGUGUAUUUUGAUUGUGCUUGUGGUCUUAGGACCUUAAAAUACUUAAUAAAUAACAAAAACCCUAAAAAAUGUUUGGUGGACUGUUGAUCUUGAUAUGAACUUUUGGACUUAGAACUAGGCAACAUUCCCUAUGCAAAAAGGACUUGGCCAAUUCCAACAUUUUGAAAUCAAGUUAUUAAGAACUGAGCCUUCAUCUGAUGCAAGUCUUGAAGAUUUAUUUGAACUCAUCUACUACAUUGUCUUGAUGCAAACAUUUAUUUUGAUCUGGUGUCUGAUGCUUUCUUCUGAGUUGACCAAGGAGUAUGUCAUCUGAUACAUGAGAAGAUAAAGAAGACUGCUAGCUAUUGGAUUUUCUUGCUUGGAUGUGACUAUAUUUAUUUGAUGCCUUGAUCUUCAUGAUGUUUGAUAUUGCUAAUUGCUUGAUUUAUUAUUGCUUGAUUCAAAGUCCAAAGGGAAAAUGGGUUUUCUAUAUGACAUUCUUGUCUAUUGGAUUACAUCCCAUUGGUCAGAUCUUUUCAACUCUUAACUUUUAAUUUUAUGCUUAGGAUUAGUCUCUUCAUCUCUCCCCAUUUCUUAAAUUUCAAAAUCUUUUCAAAAACUUUCUUUGCUUGUGUUUUCAAACUUAAACUUUGUUUAAAUGGUUAGAAACUUUGGCCUUAUGCCAAUGAACUUUCAAACCUUUUUCUUAAAUCAAAUUUGUAAAUGAACUUAACCAUAUUGACUUAAAAUUUAAAAAGACAAAAAGAACAUUCACUUUGUCAAAUUUUUGGCCCCUUUGUGCCCUUUUUUAAUUAAAAUUUUGUUAAAAGCAAUUCACUCAUUUUGAAAUUGAUACCACGAACUAUGAGGUUUUGAUCCCUCAUUUUUAUGUUGGCACGUAGGCACAAGUCUGAAGGUCUUGUCAAACACAAAAAUAUAAUCAAUGAAUUAUUUUCUCAUCCCCACAUUCUAUUUUUCUCAAACAUCAUUUUAUACCAAAAACAAAUACACACAUAAAAGAGGGCUCCCUAGGAGUACCUAUGACACUUUGGAUGCUAACACCUUCCCUCUAUGUAACCAACUCCCUUACCUGUAAUCUCUAGCAUUUUAUUAGUUUUGAUUUGAAAACUUCUUAUCUUUGGGUUUUGUUCGUACUUUUCCCUUUUUCUUUGGAAACAAUCAAAGCGCGGUGGCGACUCUGGUUUUAUUAACGUCAAGUUUACCCAUAGCUUGAUGGUCAUGAAUUUACCACUACAGUUUCCACAUAAUGCCAUGAAGAAUGGGAGACUUACAAUCUCACUUACCAGAAUGAUAUGCCAUGAGGGACAAAUUUAGCUCUAUGUUAAUCAAUCGUAAUUUGGCUUAUGUAGAAGUCACAACUAUCUGAGGUCGGGCAAUAAAAAUAUAGGUGUUAAUGCAUGUUAGAGAUUUGGUACAAAAACCAAACUCCUAAAACAUACCACACACUAAAAAAUGGGAAAGACCUAUCUCAGUCAGACUUGUGUUGAUUCAUCUGACACAAGGUCAUUGAUGAACUAACUAGCAUUUAGACAUUAGGGAAAUCAUUGGUCAAAUGAAGGAUUGGGAAAGAAUAUGGAUGAAGAUGAAGAGGGAAGGGGAAAUAAAAACACAAAUACUAGUACUCUCCUUAAAGUAGACUAGUUAUGGUAGGUAAGUAAAACCCAGAUGAAAUGUACAUUUCAUCAAUCCCCAUAAAUCCAAUGGUAUUGAUUAAACAAAAUCAAAUCAACCAUGACCAAGGCCCAAACAGAAAGUCAAACAUCACAAGACCAUAAAUAUGGCUCAACAUAAUUUUUAAACAUUUAGUCAAUUAAAAAUUCAAUUAAAAAUGAAUUAAAAUGCAUUUUAAUAUGGACAAAACAUCAAAUCCCUUCAAAACACCAAAUAAAUGGCCAAGGGAUUUAUCCUAGGUCAAACAAGGUCAAAGGACCUAACACAAAAAAUUUCAAGAUUUUUUUGGAAAGUUGUAAGUAUUUUAAAAUAAUUAAAAAUAUGCACAAAAACAUCUAAUUCAUGAAAAAUAUCAAAAUUAAUCCAAAAAAUAAUUUAACUCAAAAUAUGAAAGAGACAAAUAUUUAAAUAUUUUUGGUGAAAGUCCCAUAUUUUUUGGAUUAAAAAUGAAAUUUCUAUGAAUAAAACAAAAUAAGAGGAUUAAAUGAAAAAUAAAAAAAUAAAAUAAAAUUAAAAAAAACAAGGGCCAUCAGAUCUCCCUCAUUAAUUGAAGUGGCAGAUCUGAUGGCCAAGCGUGCGCUUCACACCAUGCACCCCAAUCAACGCGUUAUAGGGAAAGUAAUCACAAGGAGCAGUCAAGAUUAAAACAGUUUAAAUAGAUCAAGUGGCCAGGAGACCCGCCAAUGCAUCACCGGAGCCCUAGCUCCGGUUGUCUUCUCCGGUGGACCUCACCAGACUAGUCCUCCACCAACCACCAUUAAAAUAAAAAGUGAGUACACUAUGUUAAAGAAAAAAUUCUCAGGAGCUUGAAUAUGGCCUCAAUUUCAUCUAAUUCCAAGUAUAUUGAAAGAUACGUUGAUUUGAAGUUUGAGGUGCAUGAUCUGAGUUGCUUCGAUUUGGCCUCAAAGCAACUCAAUCUUGUUGCCAACAUUGGUAGGACUUCAGCCAACCAAAAAUUACAUGAAAUGAUGGAGAAUUGAGAGAGAAUCGAAGAGAUAAAGUUUCACAAAAUUCACCUUCUGUUUGCAGUGAUGAAACUCGAUUUGGAUCUCAAUUGGCUUGGGCUUGCUUCUACUUGCUUGCAAGAGAUGAAAGGGAUUAUUAAAAGGCUUGGAUCCUUGGAGUUUCAAUCCCAAAAUAGAAGUGGAAUUGAAGCUCGAUUACAAGUGAAAAUCUUCAAGGUUAUCCUAUCAAUGGAGGUUAGGGAAGAAGCAGCUCAAAGCUUGGGCAAAGGGGUCCUCAUUCUGAUCACAAUGGCAAUGUAUUUAUAGGGUUUUGCAUUGCUUUUCACACACUUGAAAAUUUGGCCAAUUUUAGAAAUGUUGGUGCGUGCUUGCAUUGGUGUGUGAUAGGCCCAUAAAAUGAUUGAAAAAAGUCCACAAUUAUGCAUGAAUGAUGCUGAAAGCUUAACAUGAGGCCAUGCAAUUGUAAUUGAAGAUUGGUCAUGAAAAUCAUCCAAAUGGGACCAUGAAAAGUAACCAUGCGCAAGUCCUUGUAAAUGCUCCAAAUGCCAUGAUCUUGGACUUUUUGGAAAGGUGAUAUCAAGGGGAACAACUUUGAUGUUGAAAACUUUUCCACUUGGAGCUUGGACCAUGAUGAAUUUUGAGGUGGAAGUUGGAGAAAUCAAACAUAAUUGAAAAUUUUCUAAGUACCAAGUCAAAUGAUCACUUCUUCCACCUUGAAUAACUUUUGCUAUGAGCUCCAAAUGAAAAUGGUUUCUUCACCAAAAUUGUAUCUCUUUCAUCCCUCUUAAAAUGGUUUCUUCACCAAAGUUGUAGCUCUUUCAAUGAUGAUGGCCCAAAAUGACCUAUAAUGUUUCCUCUUGGCACAUGCCCUUGCAAGUUGAAUUUGACAUUUCUCAAAGAAUCAAAGUUGGGUAAGACAUCUUGAAUUUGAUCAUGAAACAAGGAUCACCUUCAUAUCAUAAAAAUUGAGCAUGUUACGGUCCUUGGAAGUUGAUCUCCUAACUAGGGCAUAAACAAAAUGACCUAUAAUCUUUAACCAUAAACAAUGACUUUCCAAGCAAAGAUAGGUCUUGAUGCCAACAUGAAAGUUGUUUGGAAUGUCAUAAAGAGUAGUGUUUAUCAUGGAAUCAUUUUCAUAUGACAAAAAUUGAAGGAGAUAGGGUCUAGGGAACCCCAGUUUUGACCAGUUGACUUUCUCUGGUCAACGAGGAACUUGGUUGAACGUUUGAACUUCAAGAGAACUAGAAACGGACUCAUGGAGGAUCAUAUAUGCAUAAGAUGAUGUAUAAUGAAGUACCCAUUGAUAUAUUUGACCAAUUGUUGAAGAAACUUGCUGAGGAAGUCACACAAGAUACCUAAAUGAAUUAGGCUUCCAAGGCAAACAAGCUUCAAACUCUUGAUGAAUUCUUCAUCAAAAUGAUAAAUAAAGAUCAUGGGGAUCCAUAUAUGAUGUUUAGAACCAUUGUGAACCACUCCUGAAUUUUUCUUUUCCAUGAGGGUCUCAAACCCUAGUUGUGAGCUUGAUGAGACACAAGUGGAUGCACACACUACUUACAAAAGAAACAAAAGCUAUACAUGGACAUAUUUUUGGUAUUUUGGUUAGUAAACAAAGAAAAAUAAAGUAUGAUACAAUCAAAUGUGUUUGGUGAUCUCUCCCAAUGCAAACCCAUUGAAUAAGGGAUAAGGAGGAUGCCAAGGUGUGAUCCUAUAGUCAAUGCAAAUGAUGAGAUAACAUGAGGGAUCUUAGAAUCAAAAUUGGAGUCUUACAGCUGUCCAUAUUUAAGGACAUUCUAGCUGAGGAUGUGAAGGUUAAAAUCUUUGUAUUAACUCAGUAGAAUAGACUUAAAUAACAACAUCAAGAAAUAAAUGUUGGUCCCUAAGAGACCUCAUGAUACAUAUGAUAUGAAUGUUAAAAUAAUCUUUUUGGGGAAUAUAUUGCCACAAAGGAAAAGAAACCGGAGAAACUGAAAGCCCACAGGAGCGCAAUGCAUUUUGUAAGAAAAAUUCACUGGGAAGACAAAGACUCUGGGGGAUAAAAAGUUAUGUGUAGGUUAGGUUACAACUUAAAAACUGUUGGGAGACACGAAGGGAUUUCUAUAAAAAUAAAUCAAUGAAAAGAUUUGGUUGGGGAACGAGGAAAAUAUGCACAUAUUGGGAUAACACCAAUACAGCAAAAAACAAUGCAGUGGAAAAUCGUAAAUCAGAACAAAGUUGAUAUACUUACGCAAACGGGGUUCAAUUUCACAAAGAAAUACGAAACCAAACUCAACUGGGAAAAAAAAACUUCAACACAUGAGUAAAGAGAUAUAUUAUCUAUUACCGGUUACUGGGUAGGAAGAUAAUAUACUAGAACUGAGGGACAUCCGUUAACGGUUAGGAUAAACAUAUCAAGGAUGACUCGUUGAGAAAAAUGAGACAUAUUCACUACCGAUAAAUUCAUAAAAAAUGACAAAACGGAGGGGGAGUAGUUUUCACUACCCUAACAAUCAUAAAGAUAAAGUUCGUGCCAACUCUUAUCUAGUAGGAGUAUCAAACAUUUGUGGUGAAGUGUGUUCAUUCAUUUUGGUAGACAGCAUGGUCCUUUUGCAAGGACAAAUCAAUGAAUAAAUUAUUACUGUAUUAAUAAAAAUUCAAUUUACAUUGUCUAAAAACCAAUUUCUAAAAGUAUAAUAUAUAUUAUAUAUAUAUAUAUAUUUAUAUAAUAUAUAUUAUAUAUAUAUAUUAAUUAAUAUAUAAAUAUAUAUAUGAUAUAGUAUAUAUAUAUUCUACUUGAUGGAUAAAAAAUUCAUAGAUUAAUUUAAUUUUGAAUAUUAUUUAUAUAUAAUAUCUUCUACCUUUAAUUAUUAAUUUUAUAAAAAUAUGUAACAUAUACAUGCGCAUGAUUAUUUUAAUAGUUAAUCAAAAAAGAAAGACAUUGAUAUCCCCCAUAAAUAUAUAAUCAUAUUUUCGUACUGAGGACUAUCCCAAAACUUAAUUAAAUAAUAAUUAAAAUAAAAUAAAAAGCACUAAGUACAUAGAUAACAAAUUUAAAUCAAAAUAAUUAUACAAGUAUAUUUAUAUUUUCAUCAAUUUAUUAAAUAUAUUUACUUUUAAAAUUUUGAUAUCACUUUUUAAAUUUUUUAUUAUUUUUCCAUAUAAUAAUUUCUUUUAGAUUUAUGGUAUUUGAUAAUCUUUUCAAAUUAUAUAUUAUUAUUGUUAAGUUUUUCAUAAAAUAUUAUAUUAUAUUAUUUUUUUUUAUUAAAUACUUAUAUUUCAAUAUUGAAAUUAUUUUUGAUUUAUGAUAAAUAUGAUGAGUCAUAUUGUAAAACUACAAUUAUAAAAAAGAAAAUUUAUUUUAAAUAUCUCAUCUCCCUUAGUGAACAAAAUUUAAUCGUAAAUAAAAUUUGUUUUCAUCCAUUCUUAUAUUUUGAACCAAACAUGUAAUUAACAUUUAUCUCCCCCUCCCUUCCUAUUACUUCCCCCUCUUUUAAUAAAAUUAUCUCUCUUAUUAUCCCUCUGUUAAACCAAACUAACUGUAAAACAUUCUAAAUCUCAUGGAAAUCAUAUUCGUAUUAAUAAUUAUUCUAAUCUGAAACAAAAAAAUAUCAUUAUAUAUAUAUUUUAAAAGACCAAAAUAAACCUAAAAUUAACAUAUGAUAUUAAAAGAGUGCACUGCUAUAUGAGUCUUGUAGUAAAUUCAGUGAAUACAAAGAGGUGAUAUUUUAUAAGACAUAUGUAAACAAACGUUUUAUUGGACAGCUUACAUACAACACCGAUAACCUUAAUUAAUUAUAGAUAAUAAAACAUGUGAAUUUGAAAAAUACCAACAAUUUAGUGGAAACACAUAGAUAUAACAUUCACUUUUUGAUAAAAAAAAAGCGCAUGAAAACAUAAAACUUAUUUUCUUAGUAACAUGUGGGGAUUUAAAUGGCCACACUUCGGACCAAAACAGUGUCGAUAGUAAUUCCAGGUCCCAAACCGAGAAGCAUAUCCCAUUCAAGUCCCUCCCCUGUUGUGAUAUGUCCUUCAUCUUUUGACUUCCUCCUAGUUUCAUCCAUGACGAACAAUACAGAAGCACUUAACAUGUUACCAUAUUCGCUUAGUACAUACUUACUAGCUUGCAAAUUUUCCGACUUUAAGCCAAGUUUUGCUUCAAUUUUGUCAAGAAUAGCUCGUCCACCUGGGUGUAAAACCCAAAAAAUGGAAUUGUAAUCCGAAAUAUUCAAAGAUUGAAAGGCCUUGACAAGAGCUUUUUCAAUGUGUUUUGAAACGAGGUUAGGAAGAUCCUGGUCGAGAUAUAGUAUCAUUCCUACUUCUCGAAUGUCACAUUUAAUGUAUCUUCUGCUAUCUGGAAGGAUGGUUUGUGCAG
rnacentral:lncRNA from 1 species